CGAAUAAACUUCCACACAAACCGAAGAGGCGGGAGGGCGGAGGGAUCCCAAUCCUCUCCGCUUCCUCCCGGUUUUGCCACGGUGGCACCAGCGAGGGUCCGUCAGUGCCAGCGGGUGCGGGGGCCGGCGGAGGCCCCUGCGGCGGCCCAGGCUCCAGCCCGCCGCCUCCCGGCGCCGCCGCCCCGGCCCACCGGCCCGCAUGACAUCAUCGGGCCGGCUCGGGAUCGAUCCCCGCCGGCCGCCGGCUCGGGCGGCGCUCCUCCGCGGCGGCCGCCGCUGCCGCCCUGCGCGCCCAGGGGGAACGCGGGCCCUGCCGCGGACGGAACGGGCUGACACCAGAUUCGUCCCCGCCGCCAUGCAGCGAGCGCGCUGACAGCUCUGCGCCGGCUUCGGGCUGCGCGUCGGGAAGCUGCUCCACGGGCUGCCGCGGGGAAAGGUGCGGUGUCCUCACGGCCCCGCGGCGAAUGCGCCCUCCGCCAACAACGGCACUCGUUAAGGAGCCCUCUCUGGCGCGAGGGUCAAGAAGAAGGAAUUCACCGGGUGGGAAUCGGGAGGAAGGAAAACGAGCCACGAGCGGGAGGAUCAAGCAGCGGCAGCUGAAGAAACCGCCCGGUCCCUCUCCUGACAGGCUGCGACGCGCAGCGCGGCGGGCGCUUCCAGACCCCCGUCGUAAGCGAAUGGGGCGGGAGGGGGAGCCCAGAGGCAUAAACAAGUAGCGCAGGACCUAAUUCCUUCCCCUCCCUUUCCUCACUGGCUUGCCCAGGCUCGCCAAUAAAUCCAGCUCGGCUAUACAUCGCGAUGGGAACGUGCUGCCAAGGGGGCUGCCUUCCCGUCACUGAGGAUGCUGCCUUCCCCUCACUGAGGAGGCUGCUGCUGCCGCCGGGGCUGCCUGCGCACCACUGAGGACGCUGCUGCUGCCGCCGCGGAGGUUGCCGUGCCCUCUCUGAGACAGCAGCAGCUGCUGCCGCCGAGCCUGCCGUGCCCUGAUUGAGGCGGCCGCCGCCGCUGCGUUACAGGGAGAGAUUGUGGCGCUGCGACAGGGGAGGACGGGGCUCGGCGCGCAGGGGGGAGGCGCGGCGAGCAUGCGCCGCCCGAGCCACUGACUGGAUCCUCAGCCAAGGUACCGAGGCAAAAAAAAAAAAAAAAAAAAAAAAAGGAAAUUAAAAAAAAAAAAAAGGAAAAGAUUGAGAGAAAGAAGAAUGAAUGACGGUAGAGGAGAAUAGAAAAGACCGCCAGAGUAAAGGAGCCCCCGGUCGGCGGGAAGGAGCAGCUCUGGCAUGUGGGGAUCUCCGGCGCCAACAGAUAUUUUGAUGGCAUGACAAAUCAGAAAGAAGAGGAUGUACUGUAUGACUAGACACAAGAUCAGUUCUGUUUGUGGAUUACAUUUUCAGUAAGAUGUAUGGAUCUAUUUUUUCCUUGUUCUUAAAUAUAGAUCAUGAGACUUGACUGAGGCAAUAUACAUAUCAUCCAUCCAUCUAUGGCGAACUACAGCCAUGCAGCUGACAACAUUUUGCAAAAUCUCUCUCCUUUAACAGCUUUUCUGAAACUGACUUCACUGGGUUUCAUAAUAGGAGUCAGUGUGGUGGGUAACCUUCUGAUCUCCAUUUUGCUAGUCAAAGAUAAGACCUUGCAUAGAGCUCCUUACUACUUCCUGUUGGAUCUUUGCUGCUCAGAUAUCCUCAGAUCUGCAAUUUGUUUCCCUUUUGUUUUCACCUCGGUUAAAAAUGGCUCUACGUGGACGUAUGGGACUCUUACUUGCAAAGUGAUUGCCUUUUUGGGGGUUUUGUCCUGCUUUCACACUGCUUUCAUGUUAUUCUGCAUAAGCGUCACGAGAUACUUAGCUAUUGCCCACCACCGUUUUUAUACGAAAAGACUGACCUUCUGGACUUGUUUGGCUGUUAUCUGUAUGGUGUGGACUCUCUCUGUAGCCAUGGCUUUCCCCCCAGUUUUAGAUGUGGGCACCUACUCAUUCAUUAGGGAGGAAGACCAAUGCACUUUUCAGCAUCGUUCCUUCAGGGCUAAUGAUUCAUUGGGAUUUAUGCUUCUUCUUGCCCUUAUCCUCCUAGCCACACAGCUUGUCUACCUCAAGCUGAUAUUUUUUGUUCACGAUCGCAGGAAAAUGAAGCCAGUCCAGUUUGUUGCAGCAGUGAGCCAGAACUGGACUUUUCAUGGUCCUGGAGCGAGUGGUCAAGCAGCUGCGAAUUGGCUGGCUGGAUUCGGAAGGGGUCCCACACCUCCAACCUUGUUGGGAAUCAGGCAAAAUGCGAACACCACAGGCAGGAGGAGGCUACUGGUUUUAGAUGAAUUCAAAAUGGAGAAGAGAAUCAGCAGAAUGUUCUACAUCAUGACAUUCCUCUUUCUGACCUUGUGGGGUCCCUAUUUGGUAGCCUGCUACUGGAGAGUUUUUGCAAGAGGGCCUGUAGUACCUGGGGGAUUUCUAACAGCCGCUGUCUGGAUGAGUUUUGCCCAAGCUGGAAUCAAUCCUUUUGUCUGCAUUUUCUCCAACAGGGAGCUGAGGCGCUGUUUCAGCACAACCCUUCUUUACUGCAGAAAAUCCAGGUUACCAAGGGAACCUUACUGUGUUAUAUGAGGGAGCAUCUGUAAAUCUUUAGCCUUGUGAAACACUACCAUUCUCUGCUAAGCAAUUGUGGCCUGUAGCCAUGUCUUGAGGAGAAAAUCAAGAAUGGGACGUCAGCAGCUGUAAGGAUUUGGGCAACAUUCUGCAGUCUCUGCAAUAGCUCACCUCUAAUCCUGUUUUAAACCUAAACAUGUUCCUGCUGACCACUGCUGAAGGUUUGUAAUUAAGAACAAAGGACUGAACUACUGCCCUGAAUUCCUUUAUGUGGUUGAAAUCUAGAUUAUGAAAGUAGCAGGUGCUAAGUAUCAGUGCUAAAUGCUGUGUAUAUCACUACAUAAAAUAAGAACAUCAAAAAGAUUAGCAUUGGACAUCUUAAUAAAUUAAGUUGAUAUGAGGUUAAUGUGUUGAUAAAACUAAUUUUAGACAUCUCAAGACCUUUAAAACAUUUCAUACAAUUAUUAUUUUGCAAAGACUGAAAACUGGGGACUCAAGUACUGUAACUGAUUAAAGAUGUGCCAUGCAUUAUCGGAUUAUCACACUUACAAAUCUGUUUGCCUUGUGAGUAAGUUUUGGGGAGCAUUCCAAAGCAGCGUUUUUGUUCAGAUUUUUACUUUAAUUUUUUUUUUUCCAAAUAUAUUACUCUUUCUAAUUACCAUUUUCCUUAACAGUGAAAUUAUUAACAUUUAACUGUAUUCUGUGUUUUUUGCUGAUUUGGUAUAAAGUUUAAUAGACUCUUAUUUAUAUUUUUUAAAAAGCUAGAUAUCAGUCUGUUAGGCAACGUUAAUGAUAAUAUACAGUCAUAAUUGAACAGUUAUAAUUAUACAGAAUAAACACAUGUUGCCUUAAAGGGUUAUCUAGUAUCUUCCAUUUUGUUUAGCAUUGAAGCAAAUAAGCAAGGAAAAUUGAAUCAAUAACUCUGGUCAGUCAUUUGGGAGUGCAUGAAAGAUCACUUAGUCCUCUUUUUUCCUUUUUACUCCAAUGGUUCCCAAAAUCAAUAUGCACAUCACUGGGAUUAUAUGAUUUUUUCUAGGUGUGCCGCCCUUUCUAGUUUGUUCUGAGAAACACAGGCAGUUGAUGUAUGUUUAUAUUUUAAGACAGCUGUCAUGGGGAGACCGCAGCCUUAGUAUGAUAUCUUGCACAAUUUGUGAAGCAUUUAUUCUACUGAAGGCACAGUCUUGUUUAUAUUUUCUGCACAUUUUGGUGUAUUGGUUGUUUUAAAUUAUUUAAGUUUUAACUUGUGAAAGCAUAUAAUAUGAUUUCUUAGUAUUUUAGAAAUACAUUAGAGUCUGUGAGUCUUUCCUUCUUUAAGAUACAGAUGUGUGGAUUUCAAUAUAAAGUUGCAUUUGCCAAAAUUUACCUGUGUAGCUUGUUAAUUUUCUUGGAAUAAAAUUUUACAUUUUUCCAGUUAUACAAUUAACCUUUUUUAUUUUGUCUAGUGAGCUAGCAUGAAAUACUGAGAAUGUAGCCAUUAUGAAUUAUUAUCCUUUGCAGUCACUGUAUUCCCAAACUGUAAAUGCAUGAAUGAUGGGGACCACAGGAUUGAUAAAUGAUAUUAUCUGCAGUAGCACUAUUGUGUAGUUUAUCAUAAUUACCCAUCUAUCUGUUCUAAUAUGUCAGUUAUAUUUAAAGUUACAACACAGUAUUUGACAUUAACUUCACAGUUUAAUUUUGGAAAAUGUGUAUAGCUCAAGCACAAAAUCAUGAGUUGAUCAGUCAUAAAGAACACAGAUUUUUCUUAAUUUUGGGAGAGACAAGACUAGAGGUCUGAAUUCAGUAUUGGUAUAUCUUGUCCUUUGUUGUAGUUUUAUGACCAGCAAGUUAACAUAUGCAUACACGAGCAGCAGUCAAUAAUGCAAAUGCUUAAAUUUGUAUGAUAACAUUAUAUGACAUAUGCAACAAUUCAGACAGUUGUGUCUAUAUGUGAUCAGACAACUCGAUUUGGUGAGCAAUCUGUUUGACCUCACACUUUUAUACUGAGGUUGAUUGGUUGAGAGGCAUGGCUUUAUAUACUGUGUUGAAACAGAAAAAUUGCCAAAAUAAUGAGUCCUCAUCAGUAUAGAAAUGUUUCAGAACAUAAUUUGAAAUGGGACCAAUAAACUUCUACCAAAAGGACAUUUUUAUUACACUGAAAAAGGCUUUGAAAUUAAGGUAGUUAAGCAAUUGUCAAAGAUAGAAGGAGUGAAUAAAAACUGAAUUAUACGUUGAGAAAAAAUCUGAAAGUCAUCCCACUUAAGUUUAUUAAAAGGUUGAUUGGCAAUAACUUCAGUCUAAUUUCUUUAAAAUAGUAACCUUUACAAGGAACAUUGAUAUUACAUAUUGUAAUAAAGAAGUACAUAUAAAUAAAUCUGUAAAUAGUAUAUAGUUGUAGAAGUAGUCAGUUCUGAGGAUUAGCCAGAAAAUUUUCAACUAUGAAAUUUCAAAAGCUGCAAAUCUGGGGCCUGACCUAACUCUUAAUAAAGUAGUUGGUGUUUUCCCAUUAACUUCACUUGCAGAAGAAGCAGGCCCUAGCAUUUCUAUAGUACUAUACUUCUGAAAUACUAAGAAGGCUGUAUUUACUAUGCAGUGGGAAAGAAAAAAAAAUUAAAUUAUUUCCCUGGAAGUUUUUCAAGGAGCAACUGAUGUAAAUUAAAAUAAUAAACAGUAAACAAACCUGAAAGCAAAUAUUUUGAUAAAUGUUUUUCUUUUGAUAUAAUUCCUUUGGCUAUAUGACAAUACUGUAUUGCUACCUGAAAAAGGGCAGGUAGUUUUUAUUAAGUGGAUUUUUAAGAAUUGUGCCAGUAAGAAAUCUUGUGAGAGAAGUAUUUAGUUUUAUUUUUCUCCAGUGUUAACAGGACAAGGGGCUGUUCAGUGAAAUUAAAAGCCAACAUAUAAAGUAACAUUUCGUGCAAUGCUAUUACUCGGUGGAACACACUGAUACAGGAUGUCAAGUAGUUUAGAGAGAUUCCUCAAAGAACUGAGUGUAUACAUGAAUUAAAGCAGUGCUUGCACUUUUUGCCAUCAGUGUCAUUUUGAUCCUAGUCAGCAUAUCAAAACUAAUGUAUUAAGGUAUAAAUUCAAAGGAGCAAGAAGGUUCAUUCCAAUUCCAUACACUGUUGUGUCACAGUAUGAAGAGCCUUUUGCUUUCAUUUUAGUACAGGAGUUAAGCUGUUGCCAAAGGUAGAAUACAGAGCUGGUGGAUUAGUUCUUUCUUUUCAGAAUAGCAAAGAAUAUCAUGCUAUUUAUAUCUGCAUUGAUCUUUAAUUUUCAUGGGUUAUGUUAAGUCAAUAGUUUUAAUUUUCUGAUGAGAGAGGGGAAAAGAAAAAAAACGAAAAACAGAUUCCCUGAAGAAAAGGCGGUCUACCCCUGUUCCUUUCCUGCCCUCUGCUGCCCCACUGGCCCUUUGGCAGCCUCUUCAUGAAUCCUUCUACAAGAGCAAAUGUUUCAUACACUGAGUAUUGUAAUUCUCCUAUUUCUUGUGAAGUGCUUAAGCCAUUCCUCCUUCCCAGCAGAUAAACUCCUGCAGCAGCUUCCCAGGGUUUGUCAGUGUCUGGGUUCCCUUCCUGAGGAUGGAGAGGGACUGCCAGUUCCUUCCAGUUGCCUUUGGAGUUCAUGGAUCUCAGGGCACUCAGCAUGCUGGGUAUCUCUCUUUUGGCUUUGCUCAUGAAAUAGAUGCUGUUUAUAUUAUGCAAACAAAAAUGAGAAUGGGGAGGGGGCAGCAGGAAACAACUUUCCCUCUCAAUUUUUUCAAAAGGAAACCAUUGCUUUUGUUGCAUUGCCCAAGAGCACAUUGUAUUUUAAAAGCAUAAUCGGUGUUAAUUACCCUCUAAAUUAAUAAAAUGUAGUUAGCAAAUUAAGUAAAGGUUUUUGGUACAGCUACAAAGUCUUAUUAUAAAAUGGCUUUUUGUCAGUCUCUAGGCUUGAGGGCAGAGGAGUCCACUCUGUCUGUCUGCUUUUAAUUGUGUUUGUUCACUUUUUUUGCUUUUGCUUUGACUUUCAAGCAUCUCAACAUUUUAUUUAUAUUACUAGGAAUCCAGUAAUGCAGCAGGGUUUUUUUAUCACUCAUGGGUUUAAAAAAUAAUAUUAAAGGGAACUCUGAUGAUUUUUGAGGUGAGUUAGGGAGGUAUUUUGGCAAAUAAUGGGGUUUUAGCAAAUGUUAAAAAAACCUGUAGGCUGCUGGGCUCUUCCAUAGUGGCACAGCUGCACAGUCAGUUCUUAAGUAUUGAAACUAGCAAUGGAAUAGACUAACCCACAUAAAGGUAACACACAGGUAAUACAAAGCAUGUCCACAUUAGAUAAGAACUUCCUACAUGUAUUGCAUUUAUCAAGGAAUGAAGUUAAACUCAAGUAAAAGUGAGAUCAGAAAUCCAAAGAAGAAUGGUGGGUGUUUUUCCUUUUUUUUCCUGCUUUGUUUUAGCAUAGCACUGCUAAUCUGCAACCUGGGUUACACACCCACAUACAACUGAGAGAUGCCUGUACAAUUCUGCAUAGCACAUAGGCAACUUCCUUCUAGUUUAUAUUCAUUGAGAGCUCUGUGAGUGCACACUACUAAUCUGAUUGACUUUUCAGAGAAAAGAGAAGGCUCAGUCUGAGAUACUGUUUUUCAAAAUUAAAAUUCAAUAGAACUUCUCUGCUUUUGUAUACUUCAGUGAUUUUGAGUGCAAAGAAAUCAGUGACUUAAGUCUGCCAUAAUCAUAAGUGUACUCUGGCCAUGGCCAUUAAAAACAAGACAAAAUGACAUUUUGCAAUGAAUGUGCAACAAAUCAAAGAGUUUGACAUUAUACACUAUGAGUUUCUGUGAGUAGGCUGAAAAUAGUUCAUAUUUUUCUUUUAAAAAAAGUAUGAUGAUAUCUGUUGAAAUGGAUAAAGUCUUUAACUAGCCAGUGUGGAAAAAGAAGAGGAACUUUAAAAGUUACUCAUUAUAAAUAGUAAGCAGUUUCGGUGGUGUUUUUGUUCAGCUGAACUGUGUAAUUAUAUAACUGUAUGAUGAUCAAAGGAGUGUCACAGUAAAUAAGUUAGAUUUUUUUAGUUAUGUAGAAAGGAAAUAAGUAACAACCAUCUUCAAAUAUUUGAAAUGAAGUAAUUACAGUCAUCUAUAUGUUUUGUAAAGUGUAGAUAACAAAAUAAUUAUUUAAAUUUUCUGUACUUACUGAUUUAUGUACUUAAAGAACAAUAUCUUUAGAUAGUGAGUUGGCUUUUGCAGCCCAAUGAGAGACUUCUUUGUAUCACAGGUUUUGUACUAUGCUUUGUAUGUAAUAAGCACAAGAGAUAAAAAAACAGAAUUUAUCUGAUAUCAACUUCAAACUCUGCAUUAGGUACAGAACUUCUCCAAAUGGUAGGCAUAUUACUGUCUCCAGAGAUUAUCCAAAACUAUUCUGUGUUACUUCCCUAGAAUUCUACUUCACCUUUGUUAAAGAGCAGUCCAGUUAAAGAUGUGAAUUUAUUUUCAUUCUAUAACCCUCAAGUUCAGGCAUGCUCACAUCCUUUUGCAAAUUAAAGAAAUUGCUAAAAGUAGGAAGUUUUGCCCUAUAAUAAUCUUGGUGAAUCAGGUUCUUGAGGUAGUAUAAAAGGGUGGCACAGAUAUUCAAUGGCUACUCUAGGUGGGAGGUGGAAGGAUGCAAAAACAUAUUCAUCCCUGUUUAGGAGCCAUUUAAAGUCCUGCUGUUUGGUGUCCAAUAGUGAGACCAUCUUCUGUGGAACUGGCCCACCACAGGCCUGCAACCCACUCCAUGUUGAGUUUAAGCAGGACUUUGGUUGCACGUACUCUGAGUACUGAGGGGAGAAAUUCAGAAUUAGCAGACGUCAGAAAUUCCUAGACAAUAUUCAUAAGCUACAGAAAAGUGAUAGUUGCUUAUCUCCUCAAAACAGAAGUCCCAGAAUAAACAGGCCAAGAGAUAUGUGCUUAUUGUAAGCUGCUUGGGAUUUCAUGCCCUCUUGGCCCCCUCAGAGGUGACUGAGAAGACCUGUUUCAUUCUUGACUUUGGGUUUUGUUUGGUUUUUUGUUUGUUUUGAAAAUGCACGCCGUCUCAGUUGCUCUGUUCCAUCCCACCCAUAGCCAGAUGAACAUUUGAUGUCAUGCUUAAUCAAAUCUGUAUAUUCUUUAAAAUACAUAUCUAAUAGUAAAAUGUAUUUGUAGAUUUGCACUGAUUAUGCUGAUAUGUAUCACUGUUUGUUCUCGCUCAUUUCCAUAAGCAUUUCCUGUGUUUCAAACACCCAAAUCCUGUUUUUUAAAUUAAGUCAUUUUAUAAUUGUGUUUCCUGAUUUUCUUGUGAAGGCCUUUUAAGUUUUGGAUGUUUUUCCUGUUUCUGCCAAAAACAUUAAAUGCAGAUUCUUAGGGCACAUCAUAGGGGGAGCAUUUAAUUUCUUUGACUGCAGGACUGUUUGGACAUCCUGAGACUGGAAAUAUAUAUUUAGGUCCUGUGUAAUAAUUUAUGGUAAUGACUGGGCUAUAGAAUCAAGAGUAAUGGGACUGCUGGAAUAGGAUAUUUUGGUAACUGUGGCUUUAAAUUACAUCGUAAGACAUCUAGCACAAAGGAGCAAUGCUCCUUUUGUAAGAUAAUUAUGUAAAUAAAAAGUAAACACACACACAAAUGAGUACAGUUCUAUAGAAUUUUGAUUAACAUAGUCAUAGCUGUAGCAAGAUGGGCAUAAAGUAAAAAAAAAAAAAAAACCCAAAAAAAAAAAAAACAGAAAGAGAAAGUAUCUUGCCAUUCAAAACCUAAUCCUUGUAAGUUUGGCUUGAUUCCUACAAUCCCUACUCUAGGAAAAUUUUCCGUCUCUUUUGUGGAAACUCAUCUCAAUGAAGACUGCAAGAUCUUGGUAAUUUAUAUCAGUGUUUAUGUUUUUUACUAGACUAGUUCUCAGUGCAAGCAUGACACAGCAGGACUGUAAAUGUAAUCUCUGUCAUAGUCUAUAUGCAAAAGCAAUCUUUCAAUGGGUUUUGAGAGGGAGUCUAUAGGCACAUAGAUAUAUUUCUCAGACUCUCCAAAAUAAUGUAGUAUAGUCGAUGCCAAGUAGAGGUAGCUUAAGCCCUGGAAGGGCAUGAAGUAUCACAGGGAGUUUAAAAUCAGAUGCAAGGAAGGUGAGGGACAUUUAGUAAUAACUUCCCAUGUUAAUAGUUGUAAAUAAUGUUUUUGGCCUAAUUUGUAAACCUCCUUCUAAGUUCCUAAGUAGUGGUAAGGAAUCUGCAGUAGGUGGGGUGUAAUGCUGCAGCUGAGUCCUUAUGCCUGCCUAUUUUAAAUAGGGGCAGACUGGAAGCAGUGCACAUUAUAGCCUGGUUCCUCCACCAACCACCUUGCAUGGUAGUAACAUGCACUAAGCUCAUGAGCCUAGAGGUCUGCUCCAGAUGGAUCAUUUGGUCACAGUCCCAUUUUUGAAACCUUUCUUCCAGUGUUUUCUGUGAGUAGUUCUUGUUUGUAAAAGGUGGAAAGAAAUGCAUGGAAAGGCAUUGUGUAUGUUGAGCAAGUCCUUUUCAGCCCAGCUUUGGAGUGAGGACUUUUUGUAAGAGUGCAGACAGGUAUGGAAGCCCCUCACAGUUUUACCACAUCUGUCAGACACUCCUGUUCCUUGGCAUACUUAGCAUACAUGCGUACAAGGGUCUCACACAGUGUCCUUCUGUCAGCAUUCAGUCUCCCUUUCCCCUGUACACCACCAGAAAGACAGACACCGUUGUUUGUGGAGGCACUUCGAUAGAAAUGUCCUUUCUCCAAGAGAUACAUUGUCACAAAAGCUGAGAUUUACUGCAUCCUUUUGUAUCAGAGAAAGCAAUUCAAAUUCAUAUGUUUUGUAUUAAAACUUCAUGUUGAAUUUUCUUCUUGGCCUAUUAACUGAAAGGCAGUAUCACAAAAAGCCAAUUUUUUCUCCCCAAACCAGGAAGACCACCAGUCUAACUGGCAAACACACUUUCAGUGGGAAUAUUAUGAUCCUUUUUUAUCAGUUAAAUAAUUAUUUGAUAUGAUAAUAAUUGUUGCAAUAUUUGAUUAUACUAAAGCUCUGAAAGAGUUAAUUUUCAGCUUUGGCAUUUUCCUUAUGUAAAUACCUUCAUUCCAUUUCAUACAAGACAGGUUUGGCAAAUGUGGAUGUUUUGGGUGGUUUUGACAUCUAAGUUGUGCCAUCUAAGGACAAGUGCUGGCUGAUGAAUAAUUUAUUCACUUAAAUUUCAGAAGAGACCAUAUAAAACUAGCUACCACAAAAAAGGCAAUGUUUUCUUAAGUCAUGCAUGUGAUCCUUUAAAUAUUUGCUUUGGAACCUGGGUAUUGUCAAACUUAGCAUUCAAACCCCAUACAGAAUUAGAAACCAAGCUGUAAAGAUCAUUUCUAGUCACUGACUAUAACUACAAAAUGUUAUUGUUAUAUAUAUUCUGCCUGUCUUCUCUUUUGCAAAUAUUGAAAAUAUAUGUAUGAUGAGAUUCAGAUGGAAAAUCCUUGACCAUACUGAAAUUAGUGUCUAUAGCCGACACUGAAGACAGGAUUCUAUGUAUAAACCUCUAUUUCUAAAGACAAUGGAUGUAUGCCACACAAUUGAUGUAUAUAUUACACUCACGUAUGUCCAGCAUGUCUGAGAAAUGAGUUUUUAAGGCCUAGUUCACAUUCUUAAGCUUGGUAGUUCUGUUUUCUUUAUAUCAAGGUCUUCAUACUAUGCUCUUACAGCACUGAAAUCUAAAGUCCUGUUGUAAUUUGUAUUUAUAUAACCAUGGUGUUUGAUAGCCUCUUUAUAGAAAAUUACCCCUGUAUCUUAGGUUCUGUGAAAAAGCAGUCUCUGUCUAAAAGUAAAUAAUUAAAAGAUAACAUAAGAAGGAUAUAGACAAGUGGGAUUUGAAGAAAUUAUGAGGCAGUGCUGUUAAGUUUGUUUUGAGGCAGUGUUGGUAAAUAUGAUGAGCAAGGUGAUCCCAGCAUAUUCCUGCUCUUUUUUUUCUUUUUCUUUUUCUUUUUUUUUCUUUUUUUCUUUUUUUUUUUUUUUUUUUUUUUUUUUUUUGAGAGCAAGAAAGAUGAUUGAAAAGUAAAGUUUCAAAAUAAUUGAAAAAUCACAAGGGGGUGGAUCCUCAGAAGAGAAGAGCAGCUUGGGAGAAAGUACAAAGGCUGCUCCCAGAAAAUGUAAUUGUCAGUGGUAAUUGUCUGCGAUAGUCUGUCAACAUGAGCAGAUUGGAAUCUCUUGAUAAAGGGAAAAAGAUGAUAGGCCAAGAAGAGCAGAAUGAAGUCACAUUGAAGCUGAGGAAGGAACUGCAAAUGACUACUGAUUCACAGCAUUAGUUAGGAUGAGGUAAUUAGAGAUCAUGUUGAAAGUAAGGUUCAAUGAAAACAGCUGGUGAAAGCCAAGAACAUUGACUUCAGGUAGUGAUUGCAGUCUGUGAGCUUAAAAGGGAGAGGUAGAAUAAAAUGGCAGAAUGGUUACCAAAAUAAGGGGGAUACAGACCACCAUUCCCAUUCUUUUUCUUUACAAAUUAAGGAAGAGAAUACAUGAUGUCAAUGGUUAAGUGAACAGAGAGAGUACAGAAGAAGGUGAUAUACCAUAAAGGAUGUGUUGAGAGUCAGAACUACUGAGAGGUGAGAAUAGCUGACAGAAAGAACAAAUUUGGAUUAAUGUCCCUGGAGUAACGUGGGAAGAUGUGGAUUGACAUUCCAGAAGAUGGAGGACGCUGGGAAAAAUGGAGAGGAUGACAACAAGAAAUGAGAAUGAUAUCAGUCAGGGAUGGGGAGGCACAGAGAAGCACUGAGCAGCUGUCUUGCCAGGAGGAUGACAAGAGCCAGCAGUGAGGGUCGCCAGACAGGAACAGGUUGUCUAUUAGAGGUUCUGCUUAUCAAUGAUGUUGUGCUAACCCAUGCCAAAAGGAAGGGAAGGGAUACCAAGGGAUUCCAACCCUUGUGAGGUCUGGACAACUGUCCCCCCAUAGCUGAAGUGUUGGACUAGAUGGCCUUUAAAGGGUCCCUUCCAAUUCCCAACUAUUCUAUGAUUCCAUGAACUUUCAUCUCAGUGUUCUGAGUCUCAGCAUUCUCAGUGUUCAAAGUCUUGCUGCUAGUAUUACAUCUGAGUUCAGUAGGAGCUUGAAGAAUGACUAAAUAGUUUCCAUUACUUACUAUUCUUUCCUUUUUAACAUUUUAACAGGGUUUUCUGCUCUCUUUCCAUAUUCUUUCUCUUGCUCUUUUUGCAAUAUUACUCUACUAAGAAAAACUAUGUUCUUUGUGACGUUAUAUAUUUAGAGCAUGUUGGCCCAGCAAUUUUGUUAACUUUCAGACUGAAUUAUAGCUUUUCAGAGCAGUGUAAGUGCAGUUUUGGUGCAAUUUGAGAGCACUGCUGUGUUUUAUUAUCAUUGUUUCCCAUAAAGGUGGUGUCUUGGUUUGGUGAAGUGACCAUUAGGAUGAAAGCCAGUAACUUCCAGGUUCUCAUUGCAGCUUUGCCACUAAAAUCAGUGCAUAAGUGACCUUGGGUGAUUCCUAUAAACCAACUUUUCAGCUAUCCACUAGUUGUAAGAAACUCAAGGACGUUUGGGGCUUCCAGUUAAGACACUAGUGAAUCAAUUCCCAAGGGAAUGUAGCACCCUUAAGUAUAGAUUCUUUUAAUGUUGUUGGUGUAUAGGUGGUAAAAUUGAUCAGAAAUGUUCUAUUUGACUUGUUUUGGUUCUUCUGUAGGAAAUUUCAACUUACGUGUCUCAGACUUUUCCUUGCUGAGAAACAGAAAAUAUUAAUUAAAGUUCUGUUUCCUGACCACUCUAAGAUUAGAGACAACAGUACUUGCAGGUAGUCUUUCAAAAAUGAGGCAACCAGAUUAAUUGUCGGCUUGAAGAUGUGUGCUAAAAACUUUUUUCCUUCAUAGUUUCCAGUUAAAUGGCUAACAAAAAAAUUUACUUGAAGGGUGAAAGAUUUAGUUACAUAAAGUUUCUAGAUUUCUGAAACUCAUUAUAAAUCAGGAUUUAUCCCCUUUACUUGACAAGGCCAAUUUAAGAUGCUGCACUAGAAUGCAAAUAAUUGUUUUUUCAGUUAAAGUUCAUUGAGGCAGUGAGGGGGUCAGCUUUCAUUGCUGACUGUAGACUACAGCCCGAAAGUUUGGAGACAAAUGUGGCAGAUGAUUUGGGAUGUUCAGAUAACCUCAUCUUGCCAAGAGAUAUGUUCAUUAAGUUGUCAAAGAACUGAAAUGUAUGCAUUGCCCAUCCAUCUGGCAUAUAAUUUAAAUGCAGCUGAAUUCCUGACCUCAGAUGUGAUAUAAGCAUUUCUGAGUGCACAUGACUGAUAAAUGUACAUAAACAGAGGCUCCUAGAAUAAAAUUGUGUUUUAAAAGCAGAGUAAAAAAUUCUUCUGAGAUCUAGAGAUUUGUGACAGCAUUGAUAGAUGAUAACGCACUCAUAUAAAAAAAUUAACUGAGUACUAAAUAAUAUUUUUAAAAUAUUUGCACAGGAAUUUUAGUACAAUUAAUAAAACUCUCUGUAGCCUGAAGAAAGGUGUCAGAAGUUGAAGUGCCUGAAACUGAGAUACUGAAUUAAUCACAAUGAGUUUUCUGAGGGCUGGAUAGAUAAUCUGCAUGAUUUUAAAUAUUAAAAACCUUUGUCAGGGUAGAUGUGCCUGCAAAAAUGCAAGCUGGCAGUUGCACAUGAUUAAAUCACAGUUGUCUAGGCAAUUCUAUAUCUGGGUUACCACAAAUUAUUAUAAAUAAAAACAAGUAUUGAUACCUGAGCUUUUUUAAAUUUACCUCUGUCAGGCAGCAAUGUUGUCAUUCAGGUGAAUUUUAGCAAUAUCAUUUAAAAACCUUUAUAUUUGAAAUUUUAUCAUAACAAUAUAGUGUUAUAAUCCAAACCUGGGUGACCCAUAAUGACCCUGUAGAAAGAGUAGCACUGUGGAGAUGUGGUGUGUCCCUUGAGAGUUCACAUGAGCAACCCAGCUUCCCUUGAAUGUCAGUGCAACUUCAGCAAACAGGAUGAUGGUUUGAUUGCUAUUUUUGGAGAGAGGUUCUGUGAUUUCUGGAGGCUUUCAAAGUAGGCAUCUGAAUCAGAGGCUGAAGCUUGAUGGUGAACACCCUUUCAGUCUAUUUUCAGGUCUCGCUGCCUCAACUCUCAAGACUGUAAGAAAAAGAGAAGACUCAUCUUUCACAGUGCAGGAGAUCUGGUGCAUGAAUUUAAACUUCUACACAAACAGAUGGCAACAUUUUCUUUUCCACUCCCUUUUCUCGGCAUGGAGCAUCACUGUCUUCAAGUCACAAAUCCUGAGAUAUGUUUAUCGACAGAGCUAAUAGCAAAGCCUGCUUGUGCUGUAUGAGCAGUUUUAAAGAGUGAUAUAUUUCUCCGUCUCAUGAGGAUGUGGAAAAUCUACUUCACUUGUGAGCAGUUCCAAGCACCUUGUCAAUAGCUGUUCAUGUUAAUGAGGCUAUUGUAGAUACCCACAAGGCACCCAUGUCACAUGUGUGGUGCAAGUGACACCUCCUAGUAGAUUCUUAAAAUCCAAAUAGAAUUCAGUAGUACCAUAGGGCAGAGACUUCUGCCAGGAAAGAGAAUAUAAAAGCAGACUUGGAACAUUUUGCUGCUGGAGAUAUAGGGUUGAAGUAUUUAUAUGGCAAUGUCCUAUCGGCACUUGAUCUGCUCAAGUAUUGCCCAACACUUUAUUUUAUCCUUCCUCCUUUUCCAUUUGAUACAGCCUUAAGACAAUGAGUUCUAGAGGACACCAAUUGAAGAACCAAAUCAUAUUUGUCCCUAUUCAACAAAAAUUCAACAAGAAAAUAAUAAUGUCCUGAGCUCUCUCUGCAUGAUGCCCCCCAUGUUUGCUGCCAAGUGUCUCACUGUAGGAAGGCAGAGUUCAUGCCCCAGUGAUUUACCCCCAGUGAUUUACCCUGCCAGCACCACGUGAAUCUGUAAAGAUUUGCAACACGCACUCUUUAGUCUAUCUUCAAUGUUCAGUGGCAUGGGGGCUCAAGAGCAACCUAAAGUGCAAAAUAUUCUAUGCCCCUUGUCACAGGUCCUCAUUUCAGCUGCCAACGACCAUCCCAUAGUACCUUCCCAUACACAUAAUCUGUGAAGGAUCCAAGCAGACUGGUAUUCUGGGAUGUCUGGUGGGUUCAAGCCGUGCUAUGGGGGUUAUGCCUGUUCAAUUACUACUGCUUAAAGGGCAUGCUUAAAAAAGUUAGUGUGCCAGCUCUUGGAAGCGUUCUCCUGAAUUCAGGCUUGCAUCCAAACAGUUCAAGCUAUGGCUGUGAGCCACACACAGCUCACAAGGUGAUUUCUACAGCCUGAGGGGGUAAACAAGUGCUUCUGUACUUGAGAGCUGUGGUGGCAUAGGAUGUCCUUAGGUAACUGGUUGAUGAGUUAGAACUAGCUUUGUUGUCAUUGCUCAUGCCUUCUAACCCAUGUAGCACCCUGAGCAGAGUUUUCUCUGAGGACCAAAGAAAGAAUAAACCAUGGUCACUGCAAGGAGGACAAAGGGAAGAACUGUAGCAGGAGAUAGUGGACAUUGGACUUUAUGCUGAAAGAGGAGGACAUACAGAUGACAGGAACUAGAGUGUCAGAAGGCAGAGUACCUGGGAGCAGUGUGGGUGGUCAGAAAAGAGAGAUGAUGUGGACAGAUGACAAGAAACAUGGGAUUUUAGGGGCAAGGAGUAAAAGAAAUGCAUGGACAGGUACACAUGUGGAUCUGAGUGGGAGAGUGUGGUAGUUUGAAAGGCUGCUGGAAUGUAACCCUUUGUUAGUAGCCAUUCUGUGCAUCAUACAGUUAAGAUGCAUAUGACAUGUGAAACAUGCCUGAAAAAUGAGAAAAAAAUGAGAAAAAAUUUUCAAGAAGUCUGGAGGGCAGUGGCGGUUGGACCUGUGAUCCUGGCUUUGUCCAGAUCUGUAGCAAUUCUGGUGUACACCUCAUUGAGGCAGGAGAAGUAGGAGAGAAUGUGUGAGACAAAACUUGAAGGAGAUGUGUAGUUUGAUGCUUUCCCUGCAGUCUUUCUCACAGUGUGCUCCUGAGAGGCCUUAACUGGAACUGAAAACUGCUCUUUUGCAGAACUCCUGAGGGAGAAGUUGUGCAUUGCCUUGCACCCUCAUGGGGAUGACUUCUUUCCUCCUUUCCUUGCAGUAUUAUACAAGGAGGGAAAUUAAUAUUCCAGCCCAUUGAACCUUCAUGGAGGAUCUGGCAUAGCAUUAUUUAAGAUUACUGAUAUUUUUACCUCUAUUUUUUUAAUUGAUUUCAUCUAAUAGCAUUUGAAAAACCUUGAACAUCAUAGUAUGUUCACAAAGUCAGCUAAUUUGUUUGUUGCAAGGAUCCCAACCAUAAAGUGUGUAUAUCCAAGGCAAUUGUGAAUUAAGACUUAAGCCAUUCAAGCAAGUCUGUAAAUAACAUUCAGUAAAUAACAUUCAGCCUUCUGGUUCCCAAAAAAUACCCAGGCAGAGCCAAGAGAACCGAUGCUUUCAGCACAACACUGCCCUCUGGAGCUCUCAGAGAGAGAGUUUGCUCAUUGCACACAAAGCAAAGAAAAAAUAGAGGGGAAAAUAGGAAAAGGCCUUGGUCUCCAAUGUAAAAAUGUACACAGUAUACACAGUGUAGUGAGCAAUGAAAGCAGUUAUACAGAAAAGAAAAAAAAAAAAAAAAAAAAAAAAGGAAAAAUAAAGAAAUUCAUCCCCAUCUCAAAUGCCAGGAAAUAUUUUCCAGUAUUGAAUGGAAGGCGGAAAAGAAGUGAGAAUUUUAAAUAGGCCUGGAAAGAGUGACCUACCGCAACAAAAAUACUUUUUAAUUUUGCUUAAAGGCAUUUGGCAGCAUUCUUACAACAAUAACAACAAAAUCUAAGUAUUGGGAAGGAAAAAAUCAUUUGGUCUCUCAAAAAUCUAUUUUAGAUGGAGUUCUUUUUCUGCUGUACAUCCUUUCAUAUUUUGAUAGUGUUUGUGUCAACGCAAGGAUGAUAUGUUACCUUGUGCUGUCAAAAGCUUACCAAAAUAAACCUCAUCAACAAGGCAUUAAAUAAUAAUAUCGCCUUUUUUGAAGUUUUUAUAUUCUCUGUGAUGUACUUAUGCAUAUUUUUAAAAGAACUUAAAUUAUUUAUUCCCACCUUCCAUCAAACCUGUCUAAGCAGUGAAGUGUAUACAGAAUGUUGUGUUGUACUAAGCUCUUUUAAAGAACAGGCCACAACACUUAAUUGAAUGCAUGGACUUGUUAGAAUUUAAUUUUUUGAGUUUAUAAAAGGCUGAGUCUUGCAAAUACAGUAACAACCCAUCAUUGCUAUUUCUGAUGGCAAAUAUUAUUCUCAGUAAUAUGCAUGCAUUGAAUUGGAUUCAAUAAGAAUCAUUCCAAUACCUUCUCCACAAAGUAGUUUUCUAUUAAAGUAAAUGAUGGAAAAUAUGAGGUUAGAAGGAACCUUUGGAGAUUAUCUAGUGCAAGCAUUUGCUCCACAAAGGGUCAGCUAUAGAAGGUUGCUUAGAGCCAUGUUCAGUAAGGUUCUGAGUGCCUCCAAGGAUGGGAGUUCCACAACCUGCUUGGGCACAUUGUUCCUUGCUUUGACAACCCUUAUGACAAUAAAGUUUUUUCUUAUUUUUAAGUUGUAUCUCCUGAUUUUCAGUUUAUGCCUAUUGAUCUUCAUCCUGACACAGUGAAGAGUCUGACUCUGACUCCUUUACUCCCCCAUGCCUGAGGCAUUUAUACACACUGAUAAGAUCCCCCCUUAAGCAUCUCUCCCAGCCUCUCCCUAUAUGUCAGGUGUUCCAAACCCUUAAUUGUCUUUGUGGCUCUUUGUUGAACUGUCUGCUGUAUGUCCGUGUCUCUUGUAAUGAGGAGCCCAGACCUGGACCCAGCAUGCCAGAUGUAUCUCUCCGGUUAUGGGUAGACAGGAAGGAUUACUUCCUUUAUCCUGCUGACAAGGAUUCUCCUAGAGAAGCUCUGGAUGCUGUUUUCUGCAGGAGCUUAUUGCUGGCCCAUGUUCAAUUUGGGGUCCACAAGGAUCCCAAGGGCCUUUUCUGCAAAGCAGCUUUCCAGCCAGUCAGCCCCCAGCCCGUGCUGGUGCUGGGGCUCUUCCUGCUGAGAACUCAUAGUGCAGUUCAAUGUUAUCAGGAUAGUAGCUGCCAGUUUUGAAAAGAACUGAAAUGAUGACUUGGGAAUAAAUAACUUGUAUUGCUGUAGAUGAAAGAAAGGUUAUUUGAAUACCAGCAGACUAAAGGGAAUGGAUCAAAACAAACAAAAAUGGCAGCAAAAGAGAAGCAGUGAUCCUCAUGUGAGUGAAUGUCUGAUCAUAGAAACAGAACUCCUGAAUUAUUCCCUCAGGGUUUGAGCCAGUAUAUAUCUAAGCCUGUGAGAGCUUCUCUAUGGUUUUUGGGGCACUAAAUGAAGCCAAAAUGUACUAUGAAGAAAGGGGAAAAGUUUCCUUUUUUUUCUAUCUUGCUAAUAAUAAGCAGCAGCUAAGCAAGCAUCUAGAAAUAUUGGAAAAUUCUGAAAAUAUUUCAUCAAUUGAAUUUAGGUUAUGGAAAACAUAAAAAUUUUUUAUCUGCAUAAAUGUUUGCAGGACUGAUACAUAUAUGGGAAAGGAAAUCCAAAGUAAAGAAUAACACAUAAGAUCUACUAUCCUCUCUUUGUUGAUCAGAGAAAAAGUUUAGCUUGGCACUACAAGAUUCAAAUUCCUAUAAGUAUCCUAGGCAGUUGACUGUUGUGCAAGUAGGAGGAAAAAGAAAUUAUUAUACAUUUUACUCUCUGAGGCUAGUUAUGAAAUACUGAUGCCAACACUGCAGUAUAUGAUAGAGCUAAUAAUAAUUGGUAGGUUCCCUUGGUGUCCUUAGUGCAGAUGGCCAAGUUUAAUAGCAUGUUUUAAUUUCAUUUCAGAUCCAAAUGGAUAGCAUGGGUCAGCUUGGCUGAUCUGCAUAUAUGUGUAGCAAGAUCAUUCUUAGAAGCGGUUUUUCCCUUAACAAACUGAAUUUCCCCAAUAUUUUAUUUGGUAAAAUUUAUAAGACAGCAGCUGUAAUUCAAAUACCUUUUCUUCACAGAAUACAAGCUGGAAUAAAAUUGGAAUACAAUGUUUCCAGCACAUGUUGGGUAAGUGAAAGGAUCUGAUUUUAGGACCAUGGAUUAGAGCUGCUUUUGAAAGAUAACAUAUGAAGAAGAUAUGGCCCUUUAUCUGUGUCCUAAAGUAAAAAUAGGUCAGAGACCUGAGUUGCUUGUUUUUAUUUCAGUGUUUUGUUAGAUAAUCUAAAUCUAAUAUAAAUAGCAUUCCAAAGUUUACUUAUUUUACUCUUUCCUUUAAAAUUUAUCUAAAAACUCUAAAUGGGAACUCUUCUCUUUGCAAGAUGAAGAUUUCUUCACUGUCAUUCUCACUGUGCAUUAUUAUUCAUUGUACAAAUACACUGACAAACAAUUAAACUUAUUUCUGAGAGUCCGUUCAGAUAGGAUUGCCAAAGAAGAAACCAUUGAUGAGAAAUCACUUUUAGGAGUUACUUUUUUUCUUCCCAAUGUUUAUGAAAUUAUCUCUAUCAUCCAGAUGCAUUUUGGUGGAUGCUAGCGUUAUGACUUGAGAUCUUUAGGAUUUUUUUUCUAGCUGAAUACCUGCAGACACAAAGUCUUUACAAUGUUCCUUUCAGGCUUGGAUAGUCAAAUUUGUCUUAACUAAUUUCUCACCGAUAGCAUUGUUAUCAUUGCUUAAUCACUAAAGGAGUGGAAGGUCUUGUCCUCAAGAACAUCAGUUUAAGUCCAGCUCUAUGUGUGUAUUUAGCUAACUCAAAGGACAAGAUGUGGCUCAUAGUGAUUAAUAACUAUGUUCUCCAGAAGCUGACAUCUUCACUGAGGUCUGCAGUAUAUCUAAUUGAAUUGGCCUCACUGAAUUUAAUCUUGAGAUCCUCAACACACCAAAAUUAAGUACAAUUCUAAGUAUAGUUAAUAAAUUAAACUUUCAUUUUGCUAGAAAAUAUGGGCAUCUAACACUUUAGGGAUACAUGAGGUGAAAGAUUAAUAAUAAAUCUAUUAAAUUUAGAACAAUUUACAGCUUUUCUUUAGAAAUAGAAUGGCAUUACUUUUUUUAAAAAGAAAGAAGAAAACUCAAUUAUUUGGAUGUUUACCCAUUAUAGGCUAAGUCUUUAUUUGCCAUAUAUCCUCUGAUAUUAGGAGUUAGACUGAGUGAUCCUGAUGGGUACCUCUCAACUCACCAUAUUCUAUCAUUCUAUGAUGUAGUGAAAUCAAUAUACAGUUGAGGAUGUGGAGUAUCAUCUGGGCACACUGCCAGCAAAGUCAAUGACUCUUUACCCUUGACUUAACCAAAAUGACCAUCAAAAUGACCAUAAUUUAGGCAUUGGAAUGGCUAAAGAUAAGACAACUAUUUCAUACUUGUUGAUUCAGAGGAGUGUCAACAUAUCAUUAGGGAGUGUAUCAAAUUAACAGGCCUACACAGAGGGCAACCAGGAACACCUAUGAACUGAGCACAGUGAGAGUUCAUUGAUAAGCAGGUCCAGAAACACUCUGCUGACUUUCUGCCCUGUUCUAUCACGAUCUAUCAAAAUCCAUAAAAUCCUCUCCUGGGGAAGGCUGAAAACCAAAGGGAGACCAAGCAUUAAAGGAUUUGGAAUAAUAUCUUAGGAGAUUACAACUCUUUGCUAAGAGAUGUCUGCACUGGAUUAUAGCCUACCUGAUGGUCUCUAAAAUAAUUGCUAAUAAUCUUGGCCCACAGUCUGUAAAAAGAGUUUAUGCUGGGUGGAUAAUUCUAAGUGUUCUCUUAAGUUGCAACUGAUUAGCCUGGUAUCAAUAUCAGGGUAGAUAAAGAAUAGAUAGAAAAUCCUAUACAAUAAUUAGUCCCAAUGAUGGGAUUCAUGAUAGGAUUAAUGAAUGAUUAAUUCCAAUUUUAAAAAAUUAAGUGACCCAUACUCCAAUACUUCUUACUCAAUUAAAAAUCGCAAGUGUGACAUACUUGCACUUAGGUACAUCACUUGACCUAGACUUGCACAACCUUGUGCUUAAGAAACAGGAUACAAAAUUAACUGAUUAAAGCUAUUGAAACUGCACUGACAGUGUGACACUGUAGACUCUCAAAUUUCAUCAAAUAGAAAAUAUUACCACACCCUUCAAGGGUUUAUUCUUGGUCUCAGAUGAUUUCAAUUUUUAUCAGUGACAUGGAAAUAAAACAAAUCAUGAUGGAGAAAGUGUGCAGGAAUAGAGGGAGCAGUAAACCAUGAGGGAGCAGUAAACAAUGAGGCUGACAGAUCACUGGUAGAAUUUGGAUUGUGUUUUUGAACAGGCACAAGCAAACAGUAGGCAUUUCUGUUCAGUUUAUUGGCUCAUACUUAAAUAUCAGGAGCUCUGUACUAAUGACUAAUCACUCUGAUGAUGACUUACUGCCCAGGUAAUCAGCAGACACCAGUUCUCAGAGCACAGUUAUGGCUGAAGGGACUAAAUGAAAUCCUUCAGUAUUUAGACAAAGCCAUGUGGAAAAGGAAUAAAGAGACCAUCUCACUUUCACAUUCAGUAUGGAUGUGGCUGCUACCAGAAUACUGUGACCAAUUUCUGGCUGAGGAAGUGUGAAAAAUUGAUCAAGAUUUAGAAAACCAGAGAGAAGUACUUAAAACAAAUUUGUGCAAAGACUAUUAAGCUUGAAAGACUGGAGGAACUUUUUUUAUUUGAGGCUAUUGCUUAAUUCCAUCUACCAAAAAAGAAUUAGUUUAGCUGAAAGAUCAGCCUGGUACAGGUCAGCAGAAGGGCUGAUCAAACAGCAACUCGUAACAAAGUCCCUUACUGGGUUCAUGUGUUCACAGGGAGGGUUAUAAAUGUAGUGUUUUAAUACUGGAGUCCUGUUGGGGCUGAGGGGUUCCACAAUAAUAAAAGAUUGUAAAAACAGUCUAACUUAAAGAAAGGAUCCUAUGGCUUGGCCCCUCAUUGCUAUCACUGCCGUUCAGUGCCAGGUGAACAAAAGAAACAGAGAAGGUCAGAUUAGAUAAUCAUCUUAGAUCUUGGUAUUUAUCUGAACCAUAUAUUUAUCAUACCCUACUUUAAUAAUUUGUAUCAGCAGAAUUACUUUCUAACCUUAUUAGUACAAAUUGUUCUAAACCAUUUAAUAUUUCACAUGUUUAGUCAAGCUCUCCUUUUUGGGAAAAGUGUAUUUUUCCAUAAUAUCUCAGCACGCAGUCAGAAGUGCACCAGCUUGCAAAACUGAGGAAUGGGGGCUAAUCCUAAUUACAUUUCUCCAUUAAAAUAACUUAGUCCCUAGUGAGGGCAUUGUUGGGGUUUUGCAGCACAUUAUUAUAACUAAAAGGGCAAAGCCAUCAGCGUUUGUUAGUUUGGAAAUGGCAAAAAUGCAAAAGAUAACAUUUGCAAUGCAGUAACCCACUGCAAGCAUCCCUGCAUUUCUGAGGGCAUUUCACAUGCAGGCUGCCUUCCAAUUAGUGCAAGCCAGAUGAAGUUUUGAGCACUAAAUAUAAGCUGGUGAAAUGAUUUUGCACAGUAAUUGACCUCCCACCACAUGUCACUGAUACAGUGUCUUUUCCCCUUGCUGUGGCCUAUAAUAGAAUUUUUUGGAAGAAUAUUAACCUGGCUGUAUAUUAUUUUCUGGUUCAUUAAAUAUAAUAGCAAUUCUGGCAAAGCCUUUAGUUGAUGAGAGAGGUUUGUCCUCCACAAGAAAGCAUCACUAUAAUAAAUGCUGGAUCCCUAUCUAAUUUGCUUACAUUCAAUACAUUUUUGAAUAGAGACAUUAGAUGUAAAACCCACAAAGGACCAUUUAUAAUUCACAUCCUACAAAACUCUUUGGGUUCUCAACUUUAUCUUUACUGGCAAACACUCCCCAUAGUUCUAUGAGAUCUUUAAUGUGUUUUGAUGUUCUUUGGCCGUGAGGAUUCUGAGGGAGGAACAAGCAUAUCACCCUCUUGGUGGUAUCACUCCCAUGCAUAAGAAAGACCCUGUAAAACAAAAGGCCUCAAGGGUCUGUUUUCAAUACUUCAUGCAACCUUAGAGCAUCUUCUCUUGCCCUUAGAGCAUGUCCCUCUUUCAGGUCAUUUGUCACUGUCUCAGCUUGACUGGCAGUGAUAGUUAACCUUUGCUUAGCACCCUUAAGGUAUUUACUUUGUACUUAAAUAUAUUUUCUCACUUGCACACUGAUAAAAUACCCACAUUUACAGAGGAUUUUUUAUCCCAAAAGAUUUCAAAGAGCUCUGCAAGCUAUAAAUUCAUAGCAGUACUGUAUAGGUAGUGUAGCUUUUUGCUCAGUACAAAAACAGUAGGCAAAGUCUGGGAAUUCUGAUGUUUUAACAAGCAACUGCUGACACAGAAUUUAAGCAGAGGGAUCUGAAUUUUGCUGAGUAUUAGUCUAGGCUGUAGAGCUACGUUCCAGCUGCUGAUGAACUCAUGAUCACAAAACUUGCCCGGGUGUCUUAUGGCGCUCAAGGAGGAGCUAGUGCAGACCCACAAAGCAUAAGGACACAUGACAUUGGAUGUCAGUGGAACUGAAGCACUUCAUCCUAAUGGUGCAGCCCUAUGCCUGGGUCCUUAGGCAAUAGAAGAUCUAUCAACACUUUCAUUUUCAUGUUUUUGAUGAUGAUAAAAAAACCAAAACAGCAAUGCUAAUAUUUUGCAAACACAAUAUUCAAACUACAAUGAUGCUGCUUAGACUAAAAAAACAGGUGUGUGUCUCACAUCCUUUCCCAGUUAAGACUCACAGACAAACUGUCCAUGUCCUUCCCAGGCCUUCUCCAUUAUGCAGGUUUAGGCCAAGCUGAAUGCAGAGUGGCAACAGUUUAUUUCAGUACUAAACACAGUAUUACAACUGCAGGAGGAGAAAUCCUAAUUCAGAUUCCUGGCCUUGGCAGUAUCUGUCACAGAUGGCUGAGAGGGAGAGAAUGUGUUGUUUUCCAUCCAGUCCUGGUUGAAUAUGAAAUUGAUAAAGAGUGAGAAGAAUGAGGAAUUUUCUCCAGCUCUGCCUUUGGUCUGUGUGGGGCUAGUAUCACUGAGACUGAAGAGAGCCUGAAACUUGAGGCUCCUUCUCCCUGAGCAGGCAUGGUGACUGUUAGACUUGUUUUAUAGAAGACAGUGCUGGGUUGAAAGGAGACCAUGAGGCUAGCUCCACUCUUAGAAGGAUAUUAAUGGGUUUAAAGCCUCAGAAAAUUCUCAUCUAUCUUGUGCCAAAGGCAUAGAUCUUAAUUCAGAGGCUAUAAGGAAACUACUGAGCAGCCUGUCAGAUCCCUUGAGGCAAAGGAUUAAGGGAGAGAGACCUUGAGUUCCAGUGCAAAGGAUAUCCACAUUUAGCCCAGACACAGUUUUUAUGUCUCAUCCACCAAAAACCACCACCACCACCACCACCAACAACAACAACAAAAAAAAACAUGGAAAAACAACCUGCAACAAAAUCAACUUUCACUCUUCAUACUAGGAGACUGCACUGAUGUAGUAACAUUUGAAGUUAGGAUUGUUUCCAAGUUUAAAAAUCUGACAUAUUCAGAAUCUCACUUACCUAAACUAAGCAGUCAUUUUUUAAUUUUUGGCCUCAAUAUCAAAAGUUGGUUUUGGAUCACCCCAAGAUAAAUGUUUAUAUUGGAUUUCUAUCAUAAACCAAAUUUGAAUUUUUACCUUUCCUCAUUUUCAGUUACCUCUGGCUGUUUAAUACAUCUUCCAUUAAUUCUGUUCUGCACUAUUGGUCUGAAAUUUAGUCUGCAUCAUAAGAAUCCUUUAGUAUCAACUAAAGUAUCAGCACUUUAAAGUCAUCUAUAAAAAGCUUUUGAUGACUAAUAUACAUUUUUCUGUUCCUGCAUUAAAUUUGUUUCAAGCAAAAGGAGACUGUUUGGAAACAACACAUUAAGUUCUCUGAUAAAUCUACUACUUAAUAUUUAAUUUGAAAUCAUACUGGGAAAACAAAUUAAUUUUUUUCUCAAGCUAACAACUGAAGGCAAAGAUGUAAGAUAGCUGCAGAAAUAUAGAAUUAGCAUCAUUCUGACAUGGAUUAUGUGUUCAUAAACCAUAAGGAGAAUCAUUUUAUAUGUGUACUUUAUAUCGUUCUAUAUUAAAAAACAGUCACUUUAGAUUAAUUUAAUUUGAAUUCCUACAUGGCAGUUCCAAAUAAAGAAGAUGAAUAACCAAAUGGAAAAUGCCUUUGCUUAUUCCCUGCUCUGAAAGGGAUUCAUUAUUUAAAAUACUACCAUUAAAAAUGAACCAUUUUCACAGAUAUGAUGAAACAAAUAAUUUUUUUACAUGCAUCCUUACAACUCUGAAAAAUGUGAAUAUCUGUUUACUGGCAGGCUUUUGAAAGGUAUCCUUAGUAGUAUAGGCACAAAGAGACAUCACAGAUGUCUUCUGUCCUACAUUUUUUAUGCCACUGUCACACUCAAUGGCACUAGACUUUAUCAUACCUUUCUCGUUGAUUCUUCUUUUUGUGCUUUGUGCAGUCCCUGCUUGCAUCUGCAGCUAAAACCAAAGUAGCUCCCACGUUGCAUGAUUGCACCUCCUGUUCUGUGUAAGAAGACAUCACUACUGCUACUUAAUGAUACUUGAUUUACACAGCUACCUCAUCCUGCCCAAGGACAGAGGGUAUAAGUGCCCUGUUCAGCUUUGAAAAAAGAAACCCAGCCCACAGAGGAUGCACUGAGCAUGUUUUGUGUUACUGUCAGUGGCUCUGGUACAGUCUUAAAUGGCUGCCUGCAGUUUAGCCAAGGAAAGCAGUUUCAUGGAGUAAAAAAUAUGAUCUGGACCGACAUCUCAAGGAUGAAGUCCUGUCAAACCAAAAUAUAAUUUCCUCACCUGUCUACAAAUGUAAAAUGUGGGAUUAGAGAGGACUCCUGAUGCAAGUGUGAUGUACUGUGGACACACAUGAAGCAGUGGUAAUGGGGAGAUCAUGCAAGUAUAAAUGGCAUCCAAGAGGAGCAGCAGACCCAAACCCCACCAUUUAGGUCGUUUGACUGAUCAUGUCAAAUUCUGGGUUUUCUCAUAAUUCUUGGGAUCUCUGUUUUAGCUAAAGCAAACAGCAGAGAGCUGCAUUACCUAAAAUAGUUCUUGAAGGAAACAGGAAACAAGCAAACUGAAGAGUGAGAACCUGGAAUUAAUAUUUUCAAGAGGUAACAGCUAGCUCAGUCUUGUCACAAUUCUGUUGCAAACUCAGAUUUUCAUAGUUGUUUCUGCUGACUCCUCGCAAAGGAUUCUGCUACUAAUAUGCAAUUGUAUUUUGUGACGCAAGUCCUUACUUCAUGUCAGUUAAGCCUCUAUGCCAGUGGAAUUACAGGAUUGUUUAUGCUAUUCUGAGUACAUUAGGAGAAGUACAAGAAAUUUAUGCCUUAAAAACUCACCAGAUCAGCCCAAAAUGACCUCUAGCUAAAGGUUGAGAUACAAGUAAUAUUUUUAGCUUUCAGGCCAGCUCAUAGAGUCUUAUUCAUUCUAAGAGGUGGUUCAUGCUCUUCAACAUGAAGAAUGUGUGAUUCAUGGGUUUAGCCCUCUCAGGCUCCUUUACUGUAAUAUCUCCUGUACAGGAGCAUCAUUUCUCGGUGUCAUGAAUUUCACCUUCUUCAGUAGUCUAAUUUCGUUGAUAUAAUUUGGCUGAUGUGGCUGCUUUCUUUUUAGCCAAAUAGAAGUACAGAAUAUACUUUUUAGUAAUUCAGAGCAUUUUUAGCUCCAAUAUGGACUCUUUUGAGAAGCACUAAAACAAGUUAUUAUUGAGGUAAAUAAUACAUGGGGUGAAAAAAAAAGGUAAUGUUUUUAGAUUAAAAGAUGAAACUGAUGGGAAGGUGGAGUUUUUCAGCUUAUUUGAAGAGGUGCAAUGAAUUCAGAAUUCAAUCAGACAAGCCAUCCACAUUCCUACAACAAUGUUCCUAUUCUUAUUUGUAAUUUUGCCCUGCCCUCUCUUGAUGAAUUAAGACAGUCCUAAUGGCCUCUUUUAUCAACAGAGUUUCUGUCUUAACCAAGAAAGGGGCAUUUUCACUAGUCCAAGCAAUCAUUUUCCUUCUUGCAUUCUACAAGAUGUAUUUUUCCUUAUCAUCCAAUAAUAAAAGGAAGUGUCAACAUUAUUUCUUUCAGCAAUUUUGAAAAACUUGUUUCUUUGUGCAAAAUUGCUGGCACCAUCAUAGUCUGUGAUACUCUGGGCCAUAUCCAAAACACCUGACAGGUUAGCUCCAUUCAGGAGCUUACCCUUUCAUAGUAUUUUCUCUUUGCUUUUGUGAAAGUAACUCAAGACUGUUCCCUGAAUCCUUUUUUCUUUACAGUGAAUAAAACUGUAUGAUGGUCAGGGAAUACGGAAUAUUGAUGUAACAUCUUUGAAUAUUUAAUUGUCCUGUAGUUCUUCAGUAGGUCCCAAUCAAGGCAUGAACACUUUGUCUGGUUAUCAAACAACAGGAGAUAAUCUAUGAAAAUAUCAUUCUUGAUUAUUGCUACACUUCAGUGAUACAGUUGUUAAGAUUACUUCUGAAGGAAAACUUCCUCUGGGGAUUUCAGAGUCAGCCAGCUGCCAGUCAUGUCUUACAGUAACUUAAGACAUAGAGUUAGUUUUAAAGGCUUGUAUUUCAUACUGAUGUUUCUUUCAGUUUGAUAUAUCCAAUCAAAACAAAUAGUUGUCAGUUAUUCAAAUGCUGAAAAGUGUAAUGCAGAUCAUAUUUCUGUUCAAAUUAACACAGCUCAAUAUUUGCAUUCUUUUGUGAUCAGAUUAUAGAGACAGCUGGAGGAGCUUAUACCAGAAUGCCUUCAGCUUUAGUUCUCUAGAAUAGUUUCUUCAAUCACAUAAUUUCAAUUUAUUUUAGUUAGUAAUAACAUUACACCAUGUGAUACUGUGUUAAAUGUUGGUCUCGAUCUUUAUCUUUAAAAAUGCAUUAAACAUAAAACGUAUAAAACAUAAGAAAAGUGUAAAAGAGCAUGAUAGUUCACAAAUUAACAAGGUUUUGUAGUUAAGGCUAUCUGGUUAGCUGUUUUACUAUGCAGCCUACUCAUCCCCAGCACAAAGCUCCUAAGUAGCAUGUGCUUUUUGGCACAACUUGAAGAUAUUGGCCUAAGUUAUGCAAAGACAGCCUCUGUGUGGGUAUGCACCAAGCAUGAAAUGACAUCUGAAAUACUGUUAUCAUUAAGCUGCAUAUUUUCUUUAUUGCAUUGCUUUUUAUAUUGAUAGUGGAGACUUUUUGCAUCGCCACCUCACCUUCACCACAUAGGUUGACAGAGCAGCUUCUGGGCAGCCAGGCAGUUGGGCAUCACUCUUGAGCCAAGAUUUCUCCUGGUAAUGUGCAUUUCCACUAGACCCUUCUAACCAGAAAGUUCUGAAAUACUUCAACCUUAUUUGGUAUGCAGAGGGCUAGUCUAAGGUAUCAUUAAUUUAAUCAGUUGCAGUAAAAUUUUUGAGUCCUGUGUUCCCCAACCCUAUUUUCUGUCUCUGUGGAGAAGUCAACAGCAGCAAUAGGAGGCUGUCAGCCAGACUCUGCCUUUGGGGCAGAACCAGCCCUCUCUGCACCCUGUAGAUGCUGAAUUCUGCUCCUCACAAGAGAACAUAUUUUCUAACCUUUGUUUCUCCUUGUCUUCUCUAAAGCAAAAAACAAGGAUUUCUUUUCACAAACAAAAUGUUGGCUUGUGUUCAAAAGGACUGAAACAAUUCCUCCAUGAUUCUUCUAGCUUCUGCCAUUGAAUUCAGCCUUGUUUCACAGCAGUGCCUAUAUAAUGCCAGUAUUACAUAUAACCCCAUGAACUCAUUCAGGGAAUAUCUUGUUGAAUUAGCCAGGAUGUUUCUUUCAUUCUCCACUACAAAUCACUCAGAAUAAAUCCUAUUAAAAUAAUGCAAAUUGUUGUCAUUAAGAAGAUAAUCCUGUUUGGCCUAUAUAGAGCUCACAUUUUUCUCCAGCAAAAUAUCAGAAAUUAUUGGUUCAUUCAUCAAACAUCAUAUAGGCUAUUCCACUGGGGCGGAAAAAUAGCACAAUGUCCACUUUUUAUUUUUUACCCACCCUCAAGUUAUCAUUCUUUUAUGCAAAACAACUGUAAACCCUGGAUUUAACCUAGCAGAGUUUAUGGGUGAGAGUUACCUGAACAGGGAUCACUAUUUGUCUGACACUGAACUGGACAAACUUGUGCAUAUUCAUUAUAUCUCACAGUACUUAACACUAAUAUGCUAAUUCUAGUAAUAUACUACACAUCAUACAGUCAUCAGUCAUUCAUAAUGAGAUUUUGUUGCUGGGGAAAUGACAGCAGAUCCUAUGACAAAAGAAUUUUAGCUUGUGGGACUUUUAUGGAAGAUAGCACAGUCUGUCCAAAUGAAAUCCAAAAGACUGGCACCCCAUAAGCUUAAUUCACAGUCCUAAAAAUAUCACGCUGUCCUUUCUGAAAAUAAUGUAAACCAUCACAUUAACUCACUUCGAAAAUUCCAGUGAAGGGUUUGGCUUGGAGAUGGAAUAGAUUAGCAGGCAAAUUGACUGCAAGUACUUCAAACAUCAGUUUUAUUUAGAAACAGGGGUUUUCAGCUGAUGCUCAAUGCAUAUUAUUAAAUGAAAAGUUGAAAGAAUACUUUAAAUGACCUGCUUGUGGCUCAAGAUAGCUUUGUACUUAUUUUUCAGUCAAAGAACCAAGUGUACCAAAUACCUUCUCAGAGCCCCUGGAAAUUUGACUUAUAUAGAAUUAGUAUGUAAAAAGAGCUUAUUGAAUUAAAAAUUAUAUAAUGUAUUUAUAUAUAUGGAUGGUAGCAUAAUGCCUUUCUAAUUGUUUAUUAAUACCUUAAAAUCUGUUAAAUACAGCAAUGUUAAUAGUAACUAUCAAAUUUGUUUACUAAUUCUUUAAUUUUCUUCGGGCUACGGCAAUUCUCUUCUUAGGAAAGUGCCUGAGCUACUGGCCGUAGGCAUUUUUAGAAUAAAGGGAUUAUUAAAAUUCCCUGUCAUAACAGUGCAUGAAGAACUGCAAAAGAGAGCACAUAGGCAAAGCCAAACAUGGAUUCACAAAUUGGAGGCAAAGCUUGAAUAACAUGAUGUCCUUCUGUGAAAUAGACUGGCUUGGUAGAAAAGGGGAGAGCAGGUGAUAUUUUUCACCUGGACUUCAGUAAAGCUGUCCCCCACAGGCUGGAUGAAGAAUCAGUCAGAUGGAUUUCUGUGCUACAAAGUCAUUGUGGAGGCCAGUAGCUAGCAGUGUAUCCAAGGGGGUGGUACUGUGUACAUUCUGUUCAAUAUGAUUGGGGUGGUGGGGCAGAGCAUAACCUCAGCGAGUUUGAUGGUUAGACAAAAGUGAUGGGAGUGGCUGAUACACCAGAGGGAUUUGACUGGAGAAAUGGGCUAACUGGGGCAUCCUGAAGUUCAACAAGGGGAAGUGCAAAGUCUUGUAUCUGGAGGAGAACAAGCCCAGCACCAGUACUUGCUGGGGACUGACAGGGUGGAAAGUAGAAAAGGAUUUGGGUGUUCUGGUGGAGACCACAUCAACCAUGGGUCAACAAUAGUCAUUGUGGCAAAGGCUAAUCAUAUAUCCUGUGCUGCCUUAGGGGGAGUGUUGCCAGCAGGCUGAGGGACAUGCUCAACACUGGAAGGGCCACAGCUGAAGUAUUGAGUCCAGUUCUGGUCUCUUCGGUAUAAGAGAGACAUGGACAUGCUGGAAAAUAGUCCAGUGAAGGGCUAUGAUCAUGAUUUAGGAACUGCAGUAUCUUUCCCAUGAGAAAAGGCUGGGAGUGCUGGAAAUGUUAAGCCUAGGGAAGAGAUGGCUCCAGGGGAUCUUAUCAAUGUAUGUAAAUAGGUGAGAGGAGGAUGCAAAAACAGAGCCAGACUCUUUUUAGUAGCAUCCAGUGACAGAGUCAAUGGGCACAAACUGAAACACAGGAGCUGCAGGUUUGUGUGAUGGUGACUGAAGCACAGCAGAGGUUGUGCAGGGAGACUAAGGGAUGUUCAUAUUCAAAGACCAUGUGGACAUAGUAGUGUGCAACGCGCUCUGCAUGGAACUGCUUGAGGAGGGAGGUUCACUUAGGUGAACUCCAGAGGUCCCUUUGAACAUCAGCCCUUCUGUGGUUCUGUGAUUCUGUGAACCAGAGCUCUAUUGUUAUGCUCUAAGAUUGUCAAGAGAAGAGUUGUCAUGUCUUCUGCAAAGACUAACUAUUUUACCUAGUGAUGGUGAUGCUGAUGAAAUUGCACUUCUUAUUGGCUAUACUGAGGCAGUCCCAAAAGCAGUGGGAAGUUCAGACUUUGGUGUUCAGCCUCCUGAUAACGCCUACCCUCUCCAGACCUCAGUACAGACCUCAGACAAAAGGCCAAGUAAAGAUUUUUACUUGAAAGUUAUUUAUUUAUAGAACUGUGAUAAACAUCUGAGGACAAUAGACACAGAUUCAUUAGCUUUCCAUGCCCUAACAUGUGUUUCUAAAAUGGUGUCAAUUGUUACAAAUGUUUUUCUUGUUUUCCUCACAUUUAUUUAACAGCUAAUCACAUAUUAGACAUCUGAUCCUAAAUGUUCCCUCCUAUAGAUGUAAGUUCCAUCAUCACAGUAUUUCAGUCUGUUUUCAAACUCAGGAUCUCUUCUUUUCAGAUAUUGCAUAUUUUUUAUUAUGUUUUAGAAAGAGAGAAAAAAUACGUUUUCUUCACAGUUGGCAAAAGUCAGUAAGUCAGAUUUCAAUGCAGCUUGCAAGUUUUCUACAGAUUUUUCGUGCUAAGGGAGUAACUCCCGAUUAAAAGAUCUUUGACAUUAUUCCAUAUCCACAGCAUUGAUGUAGUAUUUAUCUCCAUCAAGGUAUAUUUCUACUUCCAUUGUCUUUUUCAGUUACUACAGUGACAUGAAAAAGUAUGAAGUCCCAUCUUCAUUCAAGAUGACAGUAAUAUCAGCCCCUAUAGCAAGGUUCUUUUGUCAUUUUAUGACUUUAAAAAAUCCACUUAAAUAAACAGCAAGGAAGAAAUUGCUAUAAAAAUUAAUAACUCACCAAAACAAAAUGCAUAUUUUCCGUGAACUGCCAUUUGCAAAUCCCUAGGAUGGUUUUCAUCUAACUGUGAUCAUAACAAGCCUUUCCAUCUGUGUAUUUUUCUAUGAGAAAACGUCAUCAGAAUUAUUCCCCAAAGGCCUUACAGGCUCAAAAAUCUCAACACAGAUCCAUCAUUAUCACAGGAAAAGUGAUAAGGCAUUUAAGAAAAAGUUAAAAAUUUUUUAGGCUUUGUCAGGCAUUCCAAUGAGUAAAUUAACUAUAUUUUUUCUUUUAAAACACUGAUGUUAACAAUACUAUAUCUUGAUCUUCAUCUAAGUUCCAAAAUAUGUUUUCUUGCACACAAUUUUUGUGAAAUAUUCGUCACUUCAAAUCUUCUAAAUUUGACACAACUUUAUAAACAAGGGUGAUUAUUUUGGAAAAUAAUAAUUCUACAUUUCUUAGUUGAUUUCUAUUAUAUUUUCUGGAUGCUCGAAAAGUUCUCCCCAGAGAGUUGCAAAUUAAACACAUCACUAUUCCAGAAAUACUGGAAUAUUGAUGUAGGUAAAAUGAGGCCAUAAGAAAAAAAGCCUGCUGUUUUAUAAAGUGUUUCUUGUUCAUGUCAAAUAGUUGCCUGUGGUGCCAGAUACAAACAUAUUUGACAAGUGAUUUAUAGCAAAGUCCCAGAGAAAAAACUUAUUAGAAGAAAAGGUCUAGAUAUACUGAAUCUCAAUUCUGUUUUAACUUUAAAAUGAUCAUUUGACUUUAUUGAUGGAAUUGGAACAUCUAUAAUAUAUUACAACAAAGUAAUAUAUAUAAAGGAAAGAUAUUACAGUUUCUUGAAACCAAAUUCUCAGUGAAAUGAAAUUCAGGAAAGCACUUCAGUGCACAUCUGAACCCAUUCUUUUUUACAGAACUGAUUUGCAAAAAUGAAGUUUCCUGGUUCAGUACACAAUUCCCCUCUGUUGCAGAAGCUUGCAAGUGAAGAGGUAAAUGGAAUUAAGGGAAAGAGAACCUUUCCAAGAAACAGGAAGACUGAGGAAGGGGAUAAGCACAAUCUGAAAAAUGUAUCACAGUUUCUUUUAAAAUAAAACAUCUUUUAAAGUAGGCCAUCCAAUAAAAAGAUGCAUUUUCCUGCUUUCUACUGAAAUAAAUACAUUGAAAGAAAAAUAUUUAUUUAUGUUUUAUACUUCAAUAGUGUGCCUAGGUGAGGCACUGAGUAGACAGACCAGCAGUCAAAGCAUGAUACAGGUAGGGAAUUGCUUUUGCAGGAAGUAGGGCUUAGUUGGAAGAACACAAAGGCAAGCAAAGUGGUCUGAGCUGGACAGAAAUAUUAAUCUAAAUGAGAUAUCUGACUUAAUACUUUUAUUUAUUAUUCUCUUUUAAGUCAGCCAAACAAAACAUUUUUAUAUUGGAUGUAUCUUGCAAAUCCAGUAAGACACAUUCCUCAUGUGAGGCACUUUGCCAACAAUGGAGCACAAAAUAGUGUGUCCUAUAUCUAAGAGGUAAAAGAGACACUCUACCAGGUGACAUCAAUAGGAACCAAUAUCAAAGAAGGACAUUAAAGAGUCAAUCAGUGUAGAAAAAAAAUUUUUCCCACACCAUAGCACAGAAGCAGCAUUUAAACACAUUGGCCAGUGCAUUCCCAGGACCAGAAACAGACCCCUAAUUUAAUGAGGGAUGCUGUCUUUUUUUGGCACAUGAUAGAAGCACAUCAGUCAUGUGUUGAUGAAGGGGCUGUGGAGAGAAGGAACGAAGUAAGCAGGGAACACAUCAGGCUGGCGAAACCGUGAUUUCAAUCACCAUCCCACUCCUUGCUCAUGCCUUGUGGGUACUUGGAAAAGAGCAGCAGGAACAGGCUGUGGGCUAUGAAAACUGUUAGGCAGACUGUAUCCAUAUGAUGGGUCAUACUUUGGGCUAAAUUAUCACAGAGUUUUAAAGAAACAAAUUGAGAAGCCUACAGGUGCUGCUGAUAAGCUAAACUUUACAUGGCCACUUGUCAGAGAGAAUACAGAAGCACCUUCUUGCUCUAAUAGAGUAGACUGUAUUGAAGUCAUGUGUUCAAGACAGCACUAAAACAAAUUGAUAAAAUAAAGGCAAACUAAUCCCAUAGUAUAGAAUGAACUUGCCGUGCAACUCAAAAGUUGAGAUAGGGAGGUAGUCUUACCCAUGCACUGGGACAUGGAAAUCAGAGUUCUUAGCUCUCACACUGGUCUCCUGGAUGAUUUUGAGACAGUCAUUUCACCAUCCCAUUCUUCAGUUUCUACAGCUCCAAAACAAAUUAAGUGAUUUUGAGAUCUGAUUUUAUUAAUAAAAUUGAGAUGAACAUUUAAAAGGAGAUGCAAGCAGAGUAUAUGAUCUGUUGCUAAAAUCUUUAUUGGAGGUUUAAAUAAAAAAUUUGUUUUACUGCUCUUUUAAGAAAAAAUUUGAAGGAUGAAUCCAAACUUACUGAUCAAUAAGACUUAAUCCAAUUAAUGGUCAUUCUAAAUGCAAGAAAUAAUUAAAACCAAAACAAAAAUAACCCAACUAUGAUUGUGACAACAGAGCUUCAUAAUUUAAAAUAAAAAAUAACAAAACACAGAUAAACAAGAUUGUGUGUCUUAAAUCUAUUGGAAUUGUUUUGUUUACAGACAAAAGACAAAAUAAAGGAGAAAUUGUUUAUAUUUAUAUAUUUUACUAGUUUUACUGUGGUUCUGGACUAUGAGACCUGUGAGAAAGAGCUGGUUUUUGAAAGUUCAAGGCACAAGUGGUGGAUUCUAGGUUACCUGGAACCAUACAAAAGAAAUAUCUGGGGUUUGGAAAGAUGGAAAAAAUAAUACUAGUAAUAAUAAAAAAAAAAAAAAAAAAAAAAAAAGUAGGUUUCAUUUUAAAAGGCUUAGAAAAUAACCAAUAUUUCCAGUCUGCAUCCUUAACUAACCUUCACAAAAUACUAAGUGGAGAUUAGGAGGAUCAGACACAUGAUGACUGUUGGAGAGAGAGAAUGACAGUAGCUCCGUUCAGAGGCUGCUGCAGAGAGAAAGGGAAUGGGCACAGGUCUUCUCACAGGUCUUCUCCUGUGUGUUCAUAAAACCCCUUACAUGCUGCUAAAUUACAGUCCUUUGCUUUAGAUAGCCUGCAGGCCCUACUGAUGAACUACAGCAUGGAGAGUGCUCUAAUGCCAUCACAGGCAUUAAUGUCACAAUUUCCCCUUCAACCUUGUCACAGAGCUCAUGAGUAAAACAGUUUGAUUUCCAAUAAUUUAUGUAAUCAGUCUGUAGUAAGAGGUACCUUUUUACACUCAGAAUUUCAUAUUGCCACAAUAAAUAGGCUACAAUUUUCUUUCAAGAGCUAAUUUAAUUAUUUAGACUUGUACAAUUACAAGCAGUGCUAUGCCUAUGAAAUUUGGUAAGGUACAGUUUUCAUUUCUGGAAGAAAUAUUUUAGGAGACUUUGCAAAUACAUUUCUAGGAGCUGUGAUUUGAUUUUAAAGAUAUUUUACAGAGAGUGGGAUGGGGGAGUGUGUUGGACGAGAUGAAUAAUACAGAAAAAAAUUAUAUCACUGCACCAAAAUGCAGUGGUUUCCAAAAAGGAAGGCAAUCCUCUGUGAUGUAUUUUAUAGGAACCCUGUACUCUACUAAAACUUCUGAUAUCUAGGGUGGUGUAGCAAGUAAACAAAAGUGUAAAUUCGACGUUUACUCAGCAUUUAUACAAGGAGUUGUGCACUGUGUUGCAAAGCAAGGAAAGAUUAGAUUUCUGGUGUCAUAUUGGGAGAUCAUAAAUACAUAGAGAUCUUAUGAGCAAGAAAUCAUGAUGAUUACCAGUUCCUAAUGUAUUCAUGAAUUUUCUUUGAUGCACAGAUUUUUGUUUCCUUGAUAGGAAUGUUGUUAGACUUGGUUUCAUUAACCAUGUUUGCUUAUUAGAUAUCUUUGCUCAUUAAAAGCAUGAGUUAAUUAAAUUAGGCCCAAAUAGUGAAAAAAUAGUCUGUCUAAAAGAACAAAAAAUACCUGACUGGAAGGCUCCUAACGAGACAAGAUAUUGACAUAGAAAAAAAAAAACCUUGCCCCUAUGCAAGAUUUUGAAAAGCAUUUUUAAGGAUAGCUUAAUAUUGCAUUAAAUAAAAGAAAGAAAGCAGCUUGAAAGCUCUUAGCUAUGGUAUUUUUUUAAUAGUAGAAUUUGCCAUAAUUUUGACACAAUUGGGUUUCUCAAAUUCCAAAAAGGACUCUAGUGUUUUCAGCCUAACCUUUUUGAAGUUCAAGACUCUGUUACAAAGCACAGGUCUGUAUCAUUAAGAUAGCAGUUCUCAGCAAGUGACAGAAAUAUUUCAUUUAAUACCUCAGUAACAAAAGGAGGGCCAAGGAGAAUCUCCAGCCUUUACUGGGUUUGGGAGGAAACACAGUGACAAAGGAUGAGCAACUUAAUGCUCUCCCUGCUUCAGUCUUUAACACUAAGACCAUUACAAUAUCCACCCCUCUGAUCUGGAAGUCAGGAACAGACCAUAAUGAAGCCCCCAUGAUCCAAGGGGAAAUAGUCAGUGACCUGCUGCAUCACUUAGAAACAAACAAAUGCAUGGAGCUGGAUGGGAUCCACCUAAGGGUGCUGAGGGAACUGUCAGAAUAGCUCACCAAACCCCUUUAGCAGCAGCCCUAGGUAACUGGGGAAGUCCAAGCUGGGCAGGAGUGUUGAUCUGCUGGAGGGUAGGAAGGCUCUGCAGAGGGAUCUGGACAGGCUGGAUCGAUGGGCCAAGGCCAGCUGUGUGAGGUUCAACAAGGAGAAGGGCUGGGUCCUGCCCUUGGGUCACAACAACCCCAGGCAGUGGCACAGGCUGGCGGCAGAGCGGCUGGAAUUUGCCUGGUGGAAAAGAACCUGGGGCUGCUGGGUGACAGCUGAGCACCAGCAUGUGCCCAGUCCUGGCCUGAAUCAGCAAUAGUGUGGCCAGCAGGGCCAGGACAGUGACUGUCCCCCUGUACUCAGCACUGGUGAGGCUGCACCUCCAGUGCCGUGCCCGUUCUGGGCCCAUCGCUGCCAGAAGGGACAACGGAGCUGGUGGAGGGUCUGGAACACAAGUCCUGUGAGGGACAGCUGAGGGAGCUGGGGAUGUUCAGCCUGGGGCAGAGAAGGCUCAGGGAGGACCUUACUGCUCCCUACAACUACCUGAAAGAAAGUUGUUGCAAGGUGGGUUUUGGCCUCUUCUUCCAAGUAACAAGCAACAGGACAAGAGGAAAAGCCUUCAAGUUGUGCCAGGAGAGGUUUAGAUUUCAUAUUAAGAGCAAUUUCUUCCCUGAAAGGGUGGUCAAACACUGGAAUAAACUGCCCAGGGAAGUGGUUGAGUCGCCAUCCCUAGAGGUAUCUAAAAGACAUGCAAAUGUGGCACUCAGGAACCGGGCUUAGUGGUGGACGUGGCAGUGCUGGGUUAGCAGUUAAACUUCAUGAUCUUAAAGGUCUUUUCCAACCUAAACAAUUCUAUGAUUCUGUGAAAUAACAUCUGACUUUCUCACAACAGAUGCUGAAGGACAACCAGCAUUUUCUCAACUCUUUUAAAAUGCCUUUAAUAUAAAUAUAUAUUCCUAUUUCUUCCGACUAUAAAAAAUGAUGGCCAUUUUCCCUUACAUUUUUAGAAAUAGUAGCAUUCCAGCAUGCCAUGGCUAAAGCACACUGAUGCUGUCAGAAAUUAUUAGAUCACUGAAUUAAAGAUGUCAAAAAGUAUCUCUUAACUGAAGGGAAAGAAAUUUAGUGUGAGACAUUUUCAAGACACUAAACGACCACCUUCUAUUUAAGUGAAAAAAAUGCUGUUAACUUAGAAAUCCUCGAUUAAAUUAGAAGCUUAUAGCAACACAGCAAAGAGAUGGGUUACAGACAGAUACCUUUGUUAAAUAAAUUUUAGCCAUACACAUUGUGCCAUGUAGGAGAAUGACACAAGGGAGAUUUUUGUUAAGGUUUAUUUAACAUAACACCAGUUUACUCAUGAGAUAAGUGCUUGUACAAAAAUCACAUCCCCAUGCCAACCAGUCUCCUUGGUGGGGGAUUAAUUCUCCCAGCAAAGUCAGGCAGUGGAUCUGUCACUGCUCUCUGUAGAUUUUCACUGUGGGGCAAAAGCUGUAUUUUAUCCAGGUUGAGUAAGAGCAAAUAGCACAGAGCAUCUCAGCCUCUGUUCUUCCUUGAAUGGAGAGUUCCCAGUAAAGGUUGGGAAUGCAGACAAUGUUCUCAGGGGCCAAGAUUUGUAACUCAUCAGUGCUUUUGUUCACAGCAGACUUUUCUGUGUGAAAGAAGCUAGUCUUUUCCAAAAAUCUAUCCCAGACUCACACACAAGUGUUAUCUUACAUUUCUUUCAUUAAAACUGAGGCCUCUGUUAAAAGAAUGUUGAUAUUAACUUAUAACAAUGCUCCUAAGGAGGUACAUACGUUUAUUUGAACACCCAAAGACAUGAUUAAUGUGAUUUCAACCAAUGACAGGGUAAUGUAAAAUGAAUAUCACCCUCACAUAUGUUAUUUUUAGAGUAUCUACACCAGUAGCAAAAACAUCAUGGGGAACUGGGCACAACUUUCACAAACACAGCAUAAGAUGUGAAACCUAAGAAGAAUAUAUUAAGUUACUGGCAUCUGUUUGUCUAGAAAUAGAAUCAUCUUACAGUAUGCUCUGUAUAGACAAGGAAAACACACACUUUUGAAAAUGAAUCAACAUUUUAAAAAAACACACGGAUUCUGAGUGUGUGAUGUUCUGGUUGCUCAGUGGGGACACAUGGAUGCUGCUUUGCUCCUUGAAUGUCUCUCCACAUUUCCAGCCCUCCAUCCAUGUGUUUUCUGUCACAUAUGCAAUGGAAAGCAUGACCUCAUUUACUUGGAUGUCCCAGACACCAGAUCCCAUCUAUUUCUCUCACUGCAUGGUAUCUGCCUAGUGCUUAAAUAAAAUAACCAUUUUGAAAUAUGUUGAUUUUAACCAUUCAUUUCUCUUAAAAAUUUGAACUUUUAUUUUACUCAAUAAAACUCCUAUGGAGUGAUACCCAUACAAAAUUUCCCAGGUUGCUGAAAGGCAAGGUGCCUUACAGACCAUAGGAAAAAAAUAUUAACAUGAUCUCCAGAAAUUGCAACUACAGUAACAAUAGGAAUAAGCAUAUUAUUAGUUUUUUUAAGGUUCACUAAAAUUUUCAAAUGCAAAACUUUUAUCAUAGGGUAGGAUACAGCUGGUAAAAAUCUCAGGAAAAUCCUGUUCUCAUUUUUUUUCAUUUUCAAGGUAAGUUAAGUUUUUACAGAAAAGUGCUUUGUCAGGAUGUUAAUGCCAGCAACUUACCCAGCUCCACAAGACAUGACAGUAUGAAGUUAUAUUUUCAAAAAAAAAGGUAAAGGCCAUGUUUCAUUAUAUUACUAAGGCCAUAAUUCUUUAAUUCAUGUUCUCGAGACUCUUUUGAAAAGUUAUGUGUGCUCACAUUACUACUGCUGUUAACAAUAUUAAAUUAUUUGUAUUUAAACAGAAAAAGAAGAAACCAUGCAUAGUACUGGUUAUGAAGGUUAGGCAAUAGAUAUUACAGAUGUCUACUUAUUUUAUUUGCCUUGUAAUAUUUUAUCAUGAAAAUUCAACUGAAAUUCUGAUAGCAGUAUAUUCCCAUAUAUUGACUUACAUCUUCCCUCACACAUUUCUUUACAGCUCCAGCCCAGGGAAGCAUCAAUGUGACAAAUUCUAUUGAAUUCAAAACGAUGAAAACACAAGUUCAAAUAAAAACAUAUGUAUGAUUUUUACUUAAAAAUAUAUUAAUUUGUGUACAUUUUUAUAUAACUUUAAAGGGAAAAUUAUAUAUAUUGCAUUAUUUUGUCUUAUGCCUUGCUAUCUGCUGAAGAAAUAACUGUGUAGGGUCAUAAUACCUGUUCUUGAUAGGAUUCUGCAAAAGCCUGGAAAUAAGCUGGUAAACUCAAGUUCAAUUGUAAGUAUAUUAUGAUGAAAGUUGUAAGUAAAAUUACAUUUUUUUUCAAAUAAGACAAAUUUUACUGUUUGUCUUUGCACCAUAUUAAGUUUCAUCCUUUCACUCUAAAUGAAAUUCAGUCAUGACUAAGGACAGCAUGUGGAUACUGUUCUGGAGAAAACAUUAAUGAAAACAGGGCUUUUCAAAAAGACUGUCCCGUUAUCACAGUGGAGCUGGGUUUUGUCGGUGAGAAGGGCUGUCAAGUCCUGGAGCACUGUAUAAUUAGAGACCAGAGGACCAUUGAUAAUCAAUACCACCAACUGAAGUGAUUCUAAAACCUUUCGGAAUGUAAUGGACUAUGGUAAAUCAUUCAAAAUUCCAUACACUGGGUUAGAGCAAAGUCUAGAAGAAUGCUCCAAAUUAAAUUCAGUAGAACUUUAUCAUUAUGUGUGGAUCAUGUACCUGUGGAAUGUUUUAACUGCUGUGUCUUAACUUCGAUAGAGGAUUGCAAAAAGCAAGGCAACCCUGUCCUUUGACUCAGCAAUUUGUGUACCUUCUCUACAUGUUUCUAUAUAACUGUUAAUCUAUUUUCUGGACAGUUACACUUAUGAAUCUUUUUCUAGCAGUUUUCUUCAGUUUCAAGUAAGUAUCUCAUGUCCAAGUCAAAGUUGUGCAAUCAAACCAUGUUGCAUGCUCGGUUUGGUUUGAUUUUCCUAAUUGUUUCACAUCAUUGUUGAUUGGUUCCUAGGCCACAACCAGAAAUACUGGAACAUAAGUUCAAAAUACUCAUUUCUGCUCCGCAGUGGGAAAUCAACUUGUGAGAGAUAGCUCAGAAAGGUAUCUGUGCAGAUGAACAUGGAGCGCAACAUCUUCUCAGAAAUAAUCAAAGUCCCAAAAAAGAGGAAGGAAUAGGUUUUCAUUCCAUCCUCCAUCACGUGAAAGAGGUGUUAAUGAAGGAUUUUAAUUUAAUUAUCCUCUGCAACGGUUCUUGGGAGUAUUAUAUUGUUGAUGAUGUAAGGUAGGACAAAAAACUUCAGUCAUGUUCAAAUUAUCCAAAAGUCAAAAGUCGUCCCAGAAUUUGGUUUCUGUUAUAAUUUAUUAUUAUUAAUGUUCUUCCAUUACAGUAUAAUUGGACAGGUCAAAACUGCACAUUAAUUCACAAAUUAAGUAAUUCUCUAACACUAUAAACAGUUUAAAACUUGUGACAGAUCUUCUGUUUGUAUUAAACUCACAUGCAAAUUCAUAGAUUCAUGUCAAGUCAUUAAAAUGUUGAACAACCAAAGAUUAUGUCUCACAAUGCCUUUAGGCCUCCAUUUCACUCUGCAAAGAUGUCAUAUUAAAGAUUUAUUUGUGGUCCACUGUUUUCCCACAUGAAAUCUCAGCCUUACUGUUAAAGUUGGAGACGGAUGGAUGGAUGGAUGGAUGGAUGGAUGGAUGGAUGGAUGGAUGGAUGGAUGGAGAGAUUUUUUUAAAAAAAAAUGUGCAAGUUUCACCUCAAAGAAUAUCUGACAUCAGCUAUAAAGCUGAGAGCUCAUCCCUGAAUAGGUCUAAUCCUUUUUGGUGCUCUGCCAAGUAAUUAUUUUUCAAUUAUAUGGAGAGAGAGGUGCCACCCAUUUUGCAUGAUCGAAAACUCUUCUAACAGCAGUUUGAAGAGCUGUAGUGGCCAAGGGAAGGGGAGAGGGAAGCAAGCUGACUUGUGCACCUUCAUCUGCUCCACUGAUACAGGCAGUUCUUACAGAUUGCCCUAGGGAAAUAUUAUAUAUUUUCCUUCAUCUCAAAACUAAAGAAUAUCUUUCUCUUCAACUGAUGAAAGACAAGCAUCUUCGUGUUAAGCAUUUGUCCUUGAACAAUAUUAGACUGGUCUCUCAAAACGCUCAUUCUUCAUUCUAUCCAAAGAAAUCAAUUUGUUUUGAAUUGCAUCAUAAUAAACCCAAUUUUGCUGUCCUUUCUCAGGCCAUUGUAAAUAAGUUCCCUUUCUUAAGUAAACAUAUUUUAGACAUAAAUUUUAAUAUUUUUUUAGCUCUGGAAUCACUUAACUCAGGUAAGAGAAAAAUGGAUUGUGAAAUGGAUUGUCAGAUUCAUCUGACCUAGUAAUCCUGGGAAUGUUUAUGUGCUAAAAGCUUUGAAAUGUUUUAUAGCCUUCCAAAAAAAAAAAAACCCUCACAAGUUGUAACCUUGUGCUCAAAGUCCAUUUUUAUGGUGACUGAUACAAGUAAAUGAAAACCCAGUAUUUUUCUUGUCUUCUACACUUCCAUUCGCUUUGUAAGUGAAAUUCAGGUGCACUGAGACAAUAGAUGAUUUGUCAUUGAUCCACUAAGAUCAAAAAUCUUUGGAUUUUUUGCAGCUUCGAUAGCUGUUUUCUUAGUUACCUGGUUAUGGUGGGAAAUUCAUAUUUAGUCCACAUGUGUAUUAAAAACAUGAGUUUUCUUACAUUUAAAUUUGGACCAACCUUCUUAUUCAAUUAUUCACUAUUCGUUUGUGGGCUUACCUAAUCAAGUAGUCAAAUUGCCAUUGAUAGAGGAUUUAAAAAAAAUGGAAAAAUUGAAACUUGCCACCUUCCCAAUCAAAUACUAGAGAUUUCAGUUUUAAAAAUUUUGUUGCCAUUGUUGUUGCUGCAUCAGAUUUUUUACUGCACACUUUAGAUAUUGUACUUUACUGAUAUCUCAGUAGACCUUACAGCUCUAAGUAAGGGAGUAGUGUCAUCCCUUUUUCCCAGAGAUAUAAAAUCUUCCCACUCUAACCUCCCAUAUUUUCAGGCCAUUCUGUUCCAUUUAGUGACUCCUAGACUGAGCAGAACAACUCAUGGUCUGAAAAUAAAACUAGGAAGUUAUUCAGCUCUGUUUCAAAAGUAAUAAAAAUGAUGAACUGAAGCAGAAACAAUGAACUGUCAUAAGGGAGAUUAUAGUGGAGCUGAAUAUUGAACUUGGUUCUCCUGGGUCUGUGCUAACCAUGCUAACACCUUACCCUCCAAUGCACUCUACCCAAGGCAGCUUCCAACAACAGAAAGGCAAAACUUGAGAUCUUAAACAAUGUUAGAGCUCAUGAAAUGCUUCUGACUAAAUGCCAUCUUGUCAAGCUUAGAACUUUGCAAAAGAAUUACUCACACUGAACUCCUGUUAAAACUCACCUAAAUACAAGUGGUCUAAUUAAGACACAGGUCAAGGGUUUUUCCCACCAAUUGUUUACAAAAUUAUAAAUUAGAGACAUUCAGAGGUGCAGGUUCCUGAUGACUAUAAAAAAUAGGUCAUUUGUAGAAUUUCUACUCAGGGGUUCUUUUUUUGACAUCUGACUUUGCAAAUACAGGUUUGUGUUCCUCUUUAGUCACAAAAUGUGUACAAAGAGAAGGCUUCCAGCUAGCCUUAUGCCGAGACAAAAUUCUGUCAUACACCAAGUUGCUUCAUUCCUGGAAAAAUUCUUCUGGAGGGGAAAGGUAAUCCCAAAUGCCCAUCUACUCUCCAAGCAAUAACAAUGCAGGAGCAUCAUGCAUGGGAGUUAGAAUCUACAUCGGAUUGCCAAAACUACUGUGUCUUUGCUUGAUGAUCCUCAAAGGGCACAGCAUUUGGUGGAUAUCUGAGAGGACAUGAGAAGCUUAUUCAUAGCUUAGCCUCUGUCUUUGUAGAUCAAAGAGCAAACUUGUUUGUCUUGCUCUGAAACACACACAAUCUGAAAAGUAACAUUUUCUUAGGAAAUUAAAAGGACUAAGUAUUUGUAUUAGAAAACUGUAUCAGUCUUAACCUCUAUAUUCUACCAGCAGAAUGUCUUCAUCAGGCUAAAAUAUUCUCUGCAUCCAGUUGAGGAAUGUAGCUGGGCUAUGGGGAACUCUGCAGGAGGAAAAGAUAAUGAUUUUUUUCCUUUUUUCCUUCAUAUACCAGUUCAUAUUAUCUGUUUCCAUGCUCCCUUUCUCCAGAGCAGCAGGUGAAAUAAACAAAACAAACAAAGAGAAGAAAUGAAGCCCUUAGUAAAUCUAGUGCUACCUAAACAGAGAAAAGUUUUCAUUCCAAGUAGGCAUUGUCAUUUCCCUCAUAUAAAGUCCUGAAGUGGUGCAGAGAAGAUGUUGCCACUUCAAUUUGGUAAAUAAACAUAUGAGCUUUUUUCUUCCUUAAGCCAUCAAGAAUAGAUACAGGUUAGUAAAACUUUCUCUUGCAAUCUUUGCAAGUACACAUGCACGAUAAAUUUUCAAAGCUGAGACUGCCUAGACUCACUUCAGCAGACUGCGGCUUUCCACAAAGGCGUUAUGCAUCAACUGAAUAAGGUAAUCCAAAAACAGCGGGAGGUGAUCUGCAUUUUUCUACAUUCAGGAAAUAACUGCACAAAAUGAACUUAAUUGUUCUCACAUUUGCCCAGUUUUCAGAUGAAUUCCUGUAUGAUUUCUCUUUAGAGCAUCCUGAAUGAAAAUCAAAUGCAUGGUUUCACACAGAAGCAAUGAAUCCAAAUAAGCUGGUCUGCCUUUCAACAAUGGUAAAAAUGGGCAUACUAUUUAGGAACAUCCUAUGCAGCUGCUACAUAUGUAUUUUAUGUCCACAUGUCUUCAGUCAGAAUGAGGGCAGGUUAUUUACAACAGGCAGUGCUUGUGAGAGAUAUCAAUUGUACCAGAUACACAAGCCCUUCUCCUGCUCCCCCACCAGGCUGGGGAUUACACAGAAUGGCUCUGCAGGUCCAUCCUGUCCUUCUCUUUGCUCUUUCUCAUAGGAGGUGGGAUCCAAAGGAGCUUCUCUCAGGUGUGACAGCAGAACUCCAGUGCAGCAGAUUAGGGCCUGAGGAAGUCAUCAGCUCUCCAUGGAUGUCUUCCAGAACUGAGAGUGGCUCCUCUGGAUAUUUGCAGCUGCACGAAAUCCAGCUCCCAUAGGAAAUGCCAAAAGUGAAUGUCUAAAAAGCAUCUUUAGUGAGAUUUUUUUCAGGAAGUCUUUUGGGUAGAAGUACUUUUGAAACACUGAAGAGCAUUUUCUUGCAAAAAAAUGUUCAACAUAUUCACCUCAUUGCCUGUGGAACUUGCUCUUUACUAUCCAAGAGCUAUUCAUGAGUGGAUCUGUGACUCUCUGCCUAUCUCUUCCUGCGAUUUGUAUUUUUCUCAGCUGUUAACACCUUGGUUAAUUUUCCAAGGACAUUAGAAGCAAGGCCUUAAGAAUGACACAUUACAAAUGCUACUGAAAAUAAAAGAGGAGAAUUAAGAAGACAGGCCCCCCCAAAAAUAUCUGUUUUUCUGGGAUUUGGUUCUGCUGAGGAAUACUUUCUAGUGGAUUAGAACAAGAAGUCACCACCUUUUCCAGAUGAUAGGAACACAUAAUAGCUGCGCUCUUUUGAGUCUUUUCUGAGUAUCUGCUCUUUACUUUUUUCCAAAUGAGUUCCUUGUAAAAAUGUCACAUUGUAGCGCUGCUCAAAGGUUACUUAAUAUUCUUCUUUUCUUAAAAGAGCUGUGUAUUCCCUGACAUCUGAGGUUUCUCUAAUCAGCUCUGAAAAUGGCCCUUUUUCUACACUGUUUUCCUUACUAAAUUAGAAGGAAACACACAACCCUCUAAUCUGUAUAUUUCCCAUUUGACAUGGGAAAGUAAUGAGCUUUGGAAACAACAUUUUAAUUGUCAAGAUUCUUCUGUUGACUAAAAUAUUACUAAAGAUAAAGGAUUUGUUCUAGUCAUGUUUUUAAAAAGUACAUAGAAAUCUAAGCAUUGUACAGAAUCUGACUCAAUAUCUUCAAGCUUAAAAGCACCAAGCAUGUCAUUAUGAACUUCCUGCUCAUGAUAUGGAACAUUAUCAAGUUUGAAGUGGUUUUAGUGGCAUUUUUCAAACAGUGAAAUAAAACCUGUAAGAAAACAGAAUGUGUAAAUCAGUGGAAAAUACUAUAUUUCACAGUGUUUUACGCCAAACAGGGAUAAAAAUGUAAAAUCAGAAUGAUACUUAUGCAGAAGUGAUAUGAUUCCUUAAUAUUGGAAGAUCUACUGUUUUAUAUAAGAACAUUAGAAAGUAUUGAGAUGAAAAGUAUUACAUUAAAAUGGACACUUUAGUGUUCAAAUCUACAGUGAUUCAAAAUUAUAGUUGAACUGAGAAUUUUGUCUCAUAAAGAUGAGCAGUUUUUCUUCACUUAUAUUUAAUUUAAUUUAAUAAAUUUUAUGUUAAAAUGGUGAAAUAUGCUUUACUAACACUUAAAAAUUAAUUAAACUAUAGUCAGAAGAUGUUGAACCAAAAAUAAUUAGGAUCCAUUUUAAAGUAAAAUAAUCCUUGAAAUACCUGCACAGGUGCAAGUUUUGUUGUAGAUUUUGGACCUGUAAAACUGAAAUAGGGCAGAAUUUUGCAUGUGUACAAUUUUAAAUGGUGUGAAUAUACCUCUUAAUUUCCAAAGCUGCAAGUUAGGACAAUAACUGUAUUUAACAUUGCUUAUACAGGGAUAUAAGCACUGUUGAGUGUGUUGAACUAAUUUUAACUGAUUUUUUUCCAAAAAGUCAAGUUAUUUUCCUUCUCUCCACAAGUAUUUCUAGAGCUCUGGAAGGCACAAGAUCCAUUACAUAUUUCCUACAAAAGCCCUCAAAAACACAAGCACAGGAGCUGUGAUGUAUAGAUGCAUCCCAUGACAGUUUGUUGGAGCCAAGAACAAAAAGCAGGAUAGUGAAGACUGUACAGGAGGAUCACAGAUCUUUGCAGAUUCUGCUAUUCUCCAGUACAAAGUGCAAGAAGAGCAACAUCUACACAGUUUGCUUGAGUUAUAAAAUAAGCAGCAAACUAGGAUCCCUACUACUCCUGCAAAGUGUGGUGAAAUUCCUUCCAUGGAUCCUAAAAAAAAAUUCCACGUUUCUUCUCCAGAAAAAUGAAUGAGAAGUGUAUCAAUAGUCUCAAAUAAUAAAUUCCAUUUUAAUAUUUUAAUAAUUUUAAUGUAUAUAUCUUUAUUAUUUGUUAGUUUUCUCACAAGUAUGAAAAUUGUAAAAAUAAAAAUUUUCCAUAUAUUUUUUCCUUAAUUGUUAUAUUUGUGUUUAUGAACAGGUGGUAUUCUAGAUGUGCCAUAAUUUCAAGAGUUACUUGGUUUCUACCAAUACAACUCCAUUCUGAUAGAUAUGAAAAGCAAGACAGAAAGCAAAAUCUUUGUAAUUUAUUUCAGUCUUUACAAGUUCUAGACAUUGAAUUUCUUGUAAGCUGAAGGGAAAAGGAUGAUGAAAAUUGCAAAGAUCAUAAGGAUGUUUGGUCUAUCUCAAUGAAAAUGUCACAAUUCCCAAAAGACAGGAAAUCUUAAGGUUAUAAAGAAUCACCCUCAGUGAAAGAGAUGAAUACCUUAAAGACUCAUCAGCACCUCUCCUGUGACAUGCUCUAGCCUUAAAAUGAACUUUGGUUUGGCAGAGCUGCAGAAAAAUUGCACAACUGCUAGAGGAGCAGAAGUAAGGGGAUUAGUAAAAGGGAGAAUAGGCAGCAAACAGGGAAAAGCAGAGGCAUUUAUACACGUUAUUUAUUACAUAUAUCUAAGAUAACCUAAUUCCACCCAGUACCUGCCACAAAGCACUGUGGGGGAUCUGUGGGCACCCUCAGGACUCGAAACUGAUGUUUCUCUUUUAUUGAGUUCUUUUCCAGGCUGCUGUUACUUCAAUUUCUGAUACACAGCACUUAACCAUGUGCAGCAAUGGGAACCUGGGUUUAAGUGAGCGAUGAAUGGGUUCCUAAAGUUUUAUUAGGUUUGUCACUUCAGGGAGGAAUGUACAUACAUUUCCAUACAAAAGCACUUAUCAGAAGCGCCAGGAGCUGAAGCAUAGCGUAUUAGACCAAAGAAGGAACUAAAUGUAUAAACUUCUCUGAAGACUUCUUUUUCUUUUGCUAAGCAUCAGAUCAUAUCAGCUUCUCUUCUUGCCUCUUUUAAGCACUUUCAAACCAUAUUGGCAGUAUAAAGCACUCCAGUAUUAUUUUGAAUAGAUUCUGUACCUCUUUAAACUUUUAAUCUAGUCAAAAGAAUAGUUCUUCAAUAACAAUUCUGCAUUUCUUCCACCCUCUACUCAUCUCCAGAGCCAGACUAUUUGUUUCACAAUGCUCUGUAGCUCAGUUUGAGCUAUCAGCAAUCUAGAACCAUUACAGCAAUCAGAUGUAAUCUGCUUUAUCACCAGCAAAGGUGUUACCAGAAAAAUUUCAUAUUACCACAAUUCUUAUACUAAGGCGGUAAAAUUGUACCUGAUAUUUAAAGCAUGUCUUGAUUUUUAGUUCUGGAGCUGUAUUUUCAAGCAUGAAAUUGCUUAAUUAGCAAUUUUGCUUUAUCGAGCAAGUGUAUAUUUUGCACAAAUUAUGAAGGUUGAAUACAAAACAUCAAGGUUGCCUUUUUAACAAGAAAAUUUUGCACGUAUAGCCAAAAGCCAAAAUUUUAAGCUGAUUUUUACUGCAUGAUGAAUUAAUAAAAAAUUAGCUGUGGCCGAAGAGAAAAUUUUGAUCAUUCAUCCUUAUGGCUGAAAUGUCUACUGACCUCUCCUGUGCCAAAGCAACCCCUUUUACUGUGUUCCCACGACUCCCUCUGGUGGCAAACCUCUCAUCCAAGCUGCAGGACGGCAUCUUCCCUUUUCUCUCUGAUGAAGACACAUGCUGGUGGAUUCUCAACUCAUUCAGGCAGUGGAAAUCCCAUUAAUGUUUUUUGCUUGAAUUUUAAGAACUAUAUUUUUUUUCUUAAUUCCUAUAAGAACUACCUCUUCAACCUAAUAAAGAAACUACCAUUAAGUAUGCAUAAUAUUGAAAAGAUUGUAUAAUAAUGCUAGUUUGAAUAAAUAAUUUGUAAAUACAAAUAAGAUUUCUGGUUUACAUACUUCACUUUCAUGUAGCCCACCACUUUAUAUACACCUGGGAAAAAUGGUCCUAGUUUUUCUCAGGGCAGGCUGCUAAGGGCAAGAGCUUCAUCACAAAUGCAAAGACAAGGAAUUACCAUUCCCAGUUACUGUCAUGCUAGGAAAAUUAAACCUGCAUUUGCUUCUUUAGUGGGGAACUUUACAGCACUCAGUUAUAUAAGAAAAAACCUCAUUGAGUACCUAUUAACUCAGUUAAAGCUUUUUCCUUCCCCACCACUGGAAACAGCACUUCCCACCUGCUCCUGCCCUCACAGACCGUCCUCCCUACCCGCUGCAUAGCAGUGUGGCAGUGGAGCCUGGCAGUCCCAGUGUGUAAGAAAUCCUAGAAACAUGGUAGCAAUCUGAUGACAGAAGACCCACCACAGCCUGGCUGGCCAACCAAACUGAUUUGGUACCAAAGUCAUUUUACGUAAUUAAGUCACUUUAAUGAUGGCUAAAAUAAUUUUUUAACAUUAAAUUACAACUUCUUUUCAUUUGUGACUUGUUCUUUCUUAUGCCCAUCUGACCUCAUCAAGCAAUGACAAUGGCUAAAAUAUUACAAGAAAUUGCAAAUUUUAAAGAAAAAGUGAUCACUCUCAAACUCAUAGCUGAAAAGAAGAUGAAAAUACUUCUAUUUAUCCUGCUGUCAAAUCAAAUGUGUUUAUUGGUUACAUUACAGAGAUCUACCCACACCAAAUAUGUAAUUCCUCUUCUCAUCAUGAAUAAAUCAGCUGGGUAUGAAAGGAUGAUGUGCAAAAGCAUCAUGACUGACCCAAAAGGCAGAAUGGUAAGUGGUAUGUCUGAGAAAUGAAGGGAGAAUGAGCUACGAAGCACUGUAAUGCAGGAUGAUGAUGUACAGGUGCUCAGAAUAGAGCAGGCUGCUGUGAACUAUAGUAUGCAUUACUGAAAGGCUAAGGAGGUCUCUUUAUGUUACCUCUGCUAAACAGGCUCCUACUAUUUUUAGCAUUUUAAUUCAGGUUAUAAUUCAGGUAUUUCUUUCAGACACACAUGCUUCCCUGCCGAUAUGUAUGCUCACCAUAUGUGUGACAUAAUUUUCCAUUGACUAAAGUGGAGAUUUUUAUUUAGUGAUUUCUUAUUCAAAGGCUGUUGUUAUUCUAAUGAAAGGUAGUUCCAGUUAAAUGAUAUUAAUGAAUUCAUUAUAACUAAAACUCUAGUCUUUAUUCUGUAAGUAUCUAUGCAUGGUCUUUUUAUGCCUGCAUUUUAUUUAUUAUAAAUGAAUAAUACCUAUUGCAGCUCCCAUGAAGCAGAAGCAUGCCUCCUCCAGUGAUGUGGAAUGAGAAUAAUGGUGUAAAUGGAACCUGAUUUCAUCAGUCCCUGUCUGAUAAAGUAGAGAAAACCCUUGCAACAUGAUUUGUCCUCUUUGGUUGUAUUAGAACUUCUUAGAAUAAGUUGAGGACUGCCAACAAUAAAAAUAAAGAUCCGUACCAGAGACUAUUCCCAGGGCCCAGUCCCAUACCAAUGUCAUAAACAUUUGGUUGUGGUUUUCCAUCCUGAACUUUUUUUUCUUUGUCCAAGUGGAUGCUUUUCUAGCUGCAGAGUGAUUAAGCUACAGCUGAAGGCGGAGCUAGCUAAACCAGCUGAAAAAAGAGCACUCUCCUGGUAGAGAGACAGUGUGGAUCCAAACAGCUACAAACACAGGAAUGGGUAGAAAUCAGAAUUUCCUGUCCCUGGGUAAGUGCUUCCAAAUGUCAGCUAUAAGUACAACCAUGUUGAUAAUGAAUUAAGCAACAAUAUUUUCUACAAAGUCUCUGGAUUUUGUCUCAAGCAUUCAGUGCUAGGGAGCCCAAAACUGAACUGCUCUGCAGUGUGGAGUUGUUGGCAUCGCAGUCUCAGAAUAAGAACCAAACAGAGAAAACACUGCAACAAUGAGAAGGAUGCAAUGGCUAAAAUCCAGAAUUUAGAAGGAAGGUUGUGGAAGAGCUGGGAUUGUUGGUGGAGCUCAUGAUCAGAAAUAUGAGUAUCUCAGAGACUGACUGCUGCUAAGUGGGUAGGAUCUCUUAUCAGUAUCUGUGGUGGUAAGACAAGAAACAGUUGCCUUUAAUCAAACAGAUAGUUGGGCUACAUAAAAAGGCACAUUUUCUUGCAGCAAGGUAAUUAUGCACUAGAAGAGCUCUCACCAGGGGAAACAGUAAAUUCUCAAUCACCAGAAUUCUUGAGCUACAGGUUGGAUACAGAUACAAACUCAUCCAGCCUGGUGCUAGCAGAGGAUUUGAUGACCCUCCGCUCCUACUUCUAAUGCUAUUUUUCUAGGUCAUAGGAUUUUCAGAGCAUAUCUCAGGGGUGAACAGAGAUGAAAAGUCACCUUAACUCUGGAUUGCAAUAGAUAUUCUUCAGGGAAUAUAUUUUACACCUGUCCAAGUGAAGUAGAUGCCUGUAUUUAGGUGCCUGAGGAACUUUCAAGAGUCACCUUGAGAACAUCUCCAGGAUAAGGCAAGGGGAAAGAUGCUCUUUGCAAAGAUGAUGUAGACACAACAUUUACAGCUGAGCACAGUCAUAUCCAUUCACAGUGUAUUAGAAUGUGACAAGGAGAGAAUUUUAGACUUCAGUGAAGCAUGACUACCUAAUAAUAAUUGCAUAGUUUACUUAUGGAUGUAAAUUUGUAUGGGUUCCUCAGGGCCAGUAAAGUCGAGAACCCAAAAAAUGUUCUUUUCCCAAGUCUGCAAAAAAAAUCAUACAAUUAUAUAUGCAAAAAUCUACAGUUAAUUCUAGAUGGAAAAUGUUUUACCCAAGUGGCAAAUGUGUACAACUCAGGCUUAAAUAUGGUACAAUUCAGGCACAAACUCCUUUCCAUGCCUGAGUAAGACUAAGUAUCCACAGUCUGUUUCAUUUUUUCUUCCUGCUCUGCUUCUUCAUUAACCAGCCCAGCACUUUUCCCGAGUGCUCAAGAGGCAGCUCUUCUUUUAGAUUCUUCAUGAGUUCAACUGUCUGAAUGAAUGGAAACCAUAAUUGCCUACUGUACAUACCAGGAUCUCCUUGAAUAUACCUGUUUUUAAGUACCACAUUGAUGGAGCAUCCUUAGGUAAAACUACAGUGUUCAGGAUUACAUACACUUAACCAUUUAUUGAAGAAUAGUGUGAGUAUAGAUUCAUGGUCUGAUACAUCCAGGUAUUUUUCUCUGCAACUCAUUGAGCCAUUACCUGUCACACUCUUAGGUAAAAGUGGAUCUUGUUAGUAGAUGUAAUUUUUUGUACAAAAAUACAUGUAUCAGUGGCACCAUAUGUAAUGAAGACACACAGAAUAUAAUUUGAAGUAUACCCUUGUUCUUCUGUGGCUUUAUUCAUCAAAAGAACUUGUGGAAUAGACGUAAUUGGCAUUGCUGAAGUAUUUUAUUUCUUCCUGGGAUUGAAGCACUAAUUGUCACAUUACACCUCAGCCAUUACUUCUAGCCCCAAUCCAAUCUCUCUUUACCCCUACAUUCUUUCAUUUUUGCCAGCCUUGCUUUUUCCCUAACCAUGAGCUUCAGUCCAGCUGUAGAGAUGGGACAGCAGCUGCCCGAGGGGGAGGGCUUCACUCUAGGUUUGCUGGCAUUGUGGAAGGGUACUUAGCAAGGCCCUGGCCUCAUUCAACUCCUUUUGCCAGGAGCCUAGUCUCUGACCAUGGCACAUUCUGGCACCAGGAUGCUACGUUUCCCUCUGUGUGUCCUCUUCAUGGCUGGGUUUUUAACUCCACAAGUCAUAGUUUAUCCUGGACACGUGGCCAGGCGUUGCAGUUGGGUGUUGGUGGAUGCUGGAGUGCCAGGGCAGACCAAAUCUCCAUCUCAUUAAGGUUUGUGGUCAUUCCUACUAAUGCAGCAAUGUUACUGACACAGUUGGAGAAGGGUGGUUUGUUGACAUAUUGCAAAAGCAUGUACAUUUGCCAACAGGUAGUUAAACUAUUAAAGGCAAUGUUCUCAUUCCUGUAAAUGAGCUCAUUGCCUUAGUCUAGGAGAAACGAUGCAUAUAGACAGGAAAUGGAUUCAAUAAUUUUUUUUAUAAGGUUCUAUUAUUUUGUCAAGUUUGAAGGAUCAUAUUUAUAUAUAGGUUGGUUCUGGGAAUAGACUUUGUUUGAGUUUGUGGUCAGAUAGGAUCAAAAACUGCUUCCCAUAGGUAUGUUUUCUCAUCUACUAGGAUACUUCUUUCCCUAAGCUAGUUCUGAAUAAUCAUCUUUUCAUCACCUUCUUUUCUCUAUUUUUCUCUGGUCACUGGAUACUUUAUUUUUCAUUUACUGCAAUAUUUUUCAUGUGUAUUUCCAAUCUACUUCUUAAACUCCUUGGUGAUUUAAUGAAAUUCAUAUGACUUUGAUUUCUUUCCAGAAUUGCAGCCUAAAACAUAUUCCUUAUCCUCUCUUUGAUGUUUUGCUUUAGGGGAAUGUUCUUUAGAUGGACUAUUCUUAAAUGCCACUCUCUGUGGAGACUCUAUUCCUUUCUACAAUCCCAGCUUCCCCUUGCCACUGUGGGUAACGUUUGGAGUUUAUUGGUUUCCACCACCAAGAACUGCAGGAAGAAGCAUCUGCUAUCUGCCUCCCCUCUCUUUCCUCACUACUACUUAUCUCUAGGAGCAGGCAAAACAUGUCUUUCUUCUCCUGAGGCUGAGCAACAAUUCUUGAGGUAAGUAUCCUGGUAGGAAGCGAUCAUUUGUUUCCACUGAUUCCUCUGGACACCCGGGACACUGGCAAAAUUUGACUCCGUUUUGUGCUAUCCAUCCUUGAUGUUGAUAAAACUGGAAUUAACAAUGUCCCCUCCAAGAGGACAGGGAUUUUGCAAAGGUGCUGGGAUCGCUCAUGAUGAAAUGGGCAAUGAAAUGGUAGACAAGGCUACCCACAUAUUGGCACACAGGCCAAGAAUUCUCUCACCCAGAAGCAGUCAAUGGACACUAUGAAGGAAAAUCCACAAUUUCAGUAUGUACUCCCAGGAAUGAAACAUUAAAUCAGAGCUCUCACAGAGUUUCCUGUGCUCUGCUCUUAUUCUAUAACCAUAGGAUGGUUUAAUUAGGCUUUGAAAAGUUAAAAUGCCAAAAAUAAAUUUGUGCAUACAAUUAAUAAAUUUAGAAUUUCAAACUGAAAAUAGUGACAAAGCAAGAUUAAAUAAUAUUUUUUUACUACAUCUGACAGUGUCUUUCUAUAAAAGUAAUUCCAGGUCAGUUAAAUUGCUCUUAGAAAAAUUAAAAAUUUUGCAGAAAUAUAUAAGACCUUUAAUUUCUCAUUUUUUAUGUUUCAAUUGUAUGGCAAAACAUUUUGCUAAAGUAAUUUUGUGCAUUUAACUUUGUAGCAGUUUUAAAAAGUCAAUGACAUGCUUUUAAAAUAUAGUACAUGAAAUGAUACUUCCAUCAACAUGCAGCAGUUGCCAUAAACAGCCUUAAUUUCCAGUCUAAAUUAGUGCUCUAAAUACAUUCAUACAAAUUAAUGCAAUGGAAAAUUAUAGACCCCAAAUUGUAUAUUUAUUUAUUGCAACAUGUUUCUCUUGCAUGUCAUCUGCCAUUCAUACAAGGUUACUUCAAGUUUAGUAAUUUUUUCCCCUUUUCAUGCUCAAAUUGAGAGGAAGACAUGUCUCCAAAUGUUCAUAGCUGAGUUUAAAAACAUAUUUUGGAUUAAUCUGUUCACUAAUCAGCAAUAUUAUUUCCUAUACCAUACAUUAUAAUUUCAUUUAAAUUGUUACUGCUGUGUUCAGAUGCUUAAGACUUUAAGUCAACAAGUAAAAAUUGCUUUUUCAGAUUAUGUGUGGGCUGGUUUUGAAUCAGCUAGCCCUACAAAGUGAGCUGAGGUGCAGAGAAUCACCAGUACAUGUGCAGGAUUUUUUCACUGUCUGUCUCCUGGUAACAGCUUUAUAAUUGGUUUUGGAGUGGCACAUGGUCUGAACUGGGGCACUACUGAGACUUGCUUCACUGAGAGGAGGUUGUAUUCUUUGAGGACAGGAUCUCUAAUAGCAAGGAAAACCCUCUUAGAUAAUGCUAUUCCACUGAUCAUCUCAGGUUGGGACAAUAGAAAGUAGAUUACCUCCCCCAGCAAAUGCAAAUGCUGAAAAUCAGAAGUGGUGAGUGGUAAAAUUUAUUUCAUUGUCCUUAAAAAGAGAAAGCUUUUACUUUAUUACAAAGUAAGGCCUGGUUUCUAUGAGACAGCAGACUGUCCUCUGAUUUUCCAGAUUAUUUUAAAAUUAAUCUUUUAUCUCUUCUUUUAGACAUUGUAGCUUAUUAUAAACAGAAACUUUAAUUGUUCAGUAUGCCACCUGUUUGACAGAAGGGAAUGAGGAACAAUUACUGGCUGUGGAUUUCACAUGGAGCUGGAAAAGGCAAUAAAAAUGAAGCAAGUUAUGUUUUAUACAGGAAGAUGAAAAUAAACCAUUUAUGAGCACCAGAAUUAAUAACUCCCUUUGAGAUAUAGUUUUUUUGGGUUUUUUUAAUUAUGUCUCGCAAUUGAAUUACAAUUGCCUCACCUUCUUUCUGGUAUUUCUCAAAUCUCUCACUUGUCACAUUUUCAUAUGGUGUGGGGAGCUGGGGGUGGGAAUAGGCACCAGCAUGCUGAGGAUCUUCUGCCCCUGCAUGUCCAUGUGAGCCAAAGCUCACAUGAGUUCUGCUCAUCCCAGGGAGGAGAAGGCUUUGUGAGCAAAACAUGUGUGCUGGUCCCUUAUAGGAACUCCUUAAACAUCAUUAAACUGAUUGCAUUCCCAGAUGUGUCUAAUGCCAGUUGAACAGGUCAAAGGCUGGUUGUGAGGAGCUGAAGUAAUCACAAAUAUGAAACUGGAA